UGACCACUACUUGGAUGUUGUAAAAACAUUGAAAAACAUGAGCUAAAGCCAAGUGAGUGGUAAACUUAUAUAAAAAUAUAAAGUUUAUCAAAGAUAUUUUCAAUAAAUAGCAAUCAAAAUACAUUUUCAAUAUGUAACAACAUAACCAAAUUCUAGAAAUACAAAUGAUGAAAUAUUUACAAUUUUGAUAAGAAACAUCAUCAGACCUAUAAUCACAUCUAGGUCCACCACAAUAGAAUAUGUCAAAUAUGUGGUCGAGCAUAGCUCACACAUGUUCAAUAUAAAUAAUGAAACAUACAAUUGUACUAAGCUCACACAUAUUUUCCAUCAACCAUGCACCAUAUCUCAAUCCAUUACGGCAAAACAGACUAAAGGAUAGCUUAAGAUGAUCCAACAGAGACAUAUAGUCAAAGUGGGCUCACUAACACUCGCAAUCAAACUUGUACCAUACCUCGAUCUACCAUGACAUAAUACACUAGAUAUAUGGUACGUAGGUUAUUUUGCUUAUGCAUUAUGCUGUACAAAGUUCAUUUGAAGAUAUGUCAUGUGUGAAUCUAAUAAUGCGACUAAGAUGGCGUCUAGGUUAGAGCUAUGCUAUACAAGGUGCAUAUAUCCUACUCACGAGUCACUAAAUGCAUAAUGAUAAACGUUUAUUACAAGUUUUUCUUACGUUUGCCCAAGUGUAAUCCAGACAAAUGGUUUCCUGGGUAAGCUAGGGUCGAACACAAAAAAUUGCUAUCAAAUUUAGUUAUAAAGUUUACUUCUAAUUCAUGCAGUAUAAAUUCUAUAUAGUAUAAGUAUAAAAGGAUACUAAUCUAAGUAUUUACAUAGAAGAUUAUGUAGAUGGAAAUAGAAUGGGGGAUUAUGAAAAAAGAACACAACACUUGUUCUCCUUUCUGGUCACAAAUGAUUGGAGGCAAAAUAUUAGAACAAAUUUAGUUUCCAAACUCCCUUUUGAACGUGUUUAGCAAGGUCUUUGCCAUUUACUUUCUCGAGCAGUUAGCAACUAGCGCUGAUCUGAUGAUGAGUUAAGCUCAGGCUAAACACGAUGAGUCUUAUACUUAAAGAACUCUUAUCAAGCACACAACACAUAAUUAACUACUUAUAACACGUAAGGAUCUGAUCGUGUACACCUAACGUGACAAAGAUUCUAUGAUAGUGGCAUAAUGAAGAAAGUUCUAACCAUAGAAUAUGCUCCGUGGAAGGAGUAUGUGUACACAACCUAUCCUAAAGAAGAAAGUUCAGUUGUGGAAAAUUAAUGCGGAGAAAUCACUUAGAUAAGAGUGUAGUGCACGAGGAAGAGCACAAAAGGAGAAAAAAAGGGAUUGCAGAGAGAAAUGCCUGCUUAAGUAAAAUCACACAGAUAUGAGCGAUGUGUCAAGAACGAGUGGUGAGAAGAGGUCCGUAUUGGAUGUUGGGAGUUAGGCAUUUGAUACGUAUUAUGAGAAGAAGCACUUGAGCCUAGAGAAGUCAUAGAUGCUAUUGACAAGACUAGACGCCAUAUGAAGAAGAAUAAAUGUUUGCAGCUUCAUGAGGAGAUAAAAAGGAUUAGGCGAUUUAAAGGAGUUUGUCUUUCCAAAGAGAUAAGGUUGGCAUCUCAAGGGGAACUCCAAUCGUCGUCACAUUUUAUGUAGAACCUGUACAUUGAGAGGACAUGAUUAUAUGACCGAGCUGUUAAAUGGAAACGAUAGUUGAUGUUUUGAUUGUUUUAAGAUGAAAAGAGUUACAUUCAUAAGAUUUUGUGAAGGUUUAAAAUCCAAUACAAAUUUGCAAGCGUCUAGCUAUCUCAUGGUUUGGGAAAAAGUUUUUAUAUUCUUAUUAAUCAUAUCACAUAAUGAAAGCAAUCGUAUAAUAGCAAAAGAUUUCAACAUUUAGGUCAUACUAUUUCUCUAGCUUUUAACAUUGUUUUGAGAAAAGUUUGCAACCUUGACCUAGAAAUUAUUAGCUCACCCAAUAUAAAUAUCGUACCAAUGGAGAUCGUAUCAAAUUCAAAAUACUAUCUUUUCUUUAAGGUAAUGCUUUAAUGUUUUGAAAUAUUACCCUCUCUUCCAUAGAUUUCAUACUAAUUCAAAAUAUAUUUGUGUUUAUGAUUAUCCUUUAGGAUUGUAUUGGUGUUAUUGAUGGCACUCACGUUGCUGCAAGUAUUCUCCAAAAUGAACAAAAUACCAUUUCGUGGAAGAAAAACUAUCAGAACAAGGAAAUAUAAUGUAUGUUUGUUUAUUUGAUAUGUUAUUCAUGUAUGUCGUGAUUGGUUGGGAAGGAUGGACCAAUGAAUCUUGCAUACUUCUUGAAUAUAUCAAGAAUCCCGAGAAUAAAUUUUAUAUGCCUAAGAGAGGAAUUAUGUGUUUUUAGAAGUUUAAAUGAAAUGGAUGACUUAAUAAUAGUUUUUUUAUUUGCUUUAUUAUAUGCAAAUCAAUACUAUAUCUUGUUGAUUCAUGAUAUUCAAAUAUGCUAGGACUUUUAGCACAAUUUUGUGGUCAAAGAUAUCAUUUAUGAGAUUUUAGAGAAAGAAGAUAUCACCCUCGAGAUAAAGAAAAAAUGUUUAACUAUCGACAUUCUUCACUAUCAAAUGUCAUUGAACGUUGUUUUGGUGUGCUGAAGGCUCAAUUUCCUAUUCUUAAGCAAAUGCCCGUGUAUCCGAUCAAGACACAAAAAUAUAUACCGACAGCAUGUUGCACAAUUCACAAUUAUAUUAGAUUGAAUGAUCGUCAAGAUGAACUAUUCAAUGACUUUAGCAAUGAAUCAAUGAUUGUUGAAGAUACACAAAAUUUGUCAACCAAUUUGCAGAGUAAUUUAUUGAAUUAGAUGCAAGUCGACAUCAUCUAAGAGAAAUGAUCUGAGUAAGAGAUAAUAUUGAGAAUCAAAUUUAGAUAACAUUUGAAGGAUAGAUACAACUUUAUGUUUAUGUUAUUAUUUUUAUUUGUGCACUGGGACUUCAUUGUGUUAAAUGAAUAAACUUUUGAUAAUUUUAUUUUUUUUAUGUUUCAUGGAGGACAUAUAUUUUUGUUUAAUGUUUAAUUGAAUUAAUUGUGAAUAAAAUAAAAAAUAAAUCUUGAAGAAAAUCAGGAAACAAAAAAACAUUUAUCAAACACAUUUUUUGUUUUUGUUUCUUUUUUAAAAAAAAACAAGAAACAAAAAUAGUUAUCAAACACAUUUCUAUUUCUCGUUCUAAAAAAGAAAAAAACCAAAAAAUAGGAAACAAAAAAUGGAGAACCAGAAUUUUACCAAACGACCCCUAAUUGUAGUAUUUUGGUAUAUAAUAUUUUUUAUUUGACAUGUUGUUUUAGAAUUACAUUAUUCAACUUCAUGUAGUUUGAAAUGUCCCUAGUUAGUUUUAGUAUAUUAGUUGGAACAAAAUUUAAUCAACAUGUUUUAUUUAUUUAUAAUUUCUUAACCAUUUAUUUAUUUAUUUUUUCUGAAGAUAUUUAAAUAAAUAUAUUUAUUUAAUCAACAUUUAUUUUAUAAUUUCCAAAUUUUGAUAUAUAUCUUAUGGCAUGAACUAAAUAUAUAGGUGUAUAUGUGACAAAAUAUGUGGAAUAUAUAUAUAUAUAUCUUAAUAUAAACUAUAUACUAAACUUAAAACAUAAAGUAUAUAUAAUAUAAUUUAAAAUUUGUACUUCUAAAUGCAUUUGAAAUAAACAAAAUCAAAGGGUGAAUUUUGAAUACAUACAUAUGGAUAUGGAGCACUUUAUAUAAUACAAGAAAAAUCAAAACGGGAAGAAAUUGAAAGAACAUAUAAAAACCAUAAAUAUGGAUUGAAUGUCAAAACCAAUAUUGACAACGAAGAAAUGCAACAUGGGAACAAAAUAAUCAUCUUCCUUAAUUAACUUUUGGACAUUUCAAAUUUAAAAUAAAAUAAAAAUCACAAAUAAGAUGGUUUGGAAAAAAACAAUAUAUUUUUCUAUAAUUAAGGAAAAAUAAGAAUGUUAAUUGAAGAAUAUUUUAAAAUAAAGUCAAUUUGGAAUUUCAUUAAUAUAACUUCAAAAGUAUUUAAUUAAUAUAAAUAAAUCAAAUUAAAGUCCUUUGUGAAAUAUACGGUUGAAAGGGGAUUUUUCGUAUAAAAAUUCCUUAAUCAAGCGUAUCUUUUCAACGAUAAUCAAAUGGGAUUAAUAACUAAAAUAUUGUUAUUUUUAAAAGUAUUUACAAAAAAUACACCCUUUUGAAAACUAUUUACCAAAAUAGAAAAAAAUAGAGAUUCUUAAUUAUUCAUAAAAUUCCCAAAAAAAUUUAAUAUAUAUAAAAAAUAGAGAUAUUUUUUAAAGUAAAAAAAAUGGACAAAUUAUUUACCCUAUACAAAAUAAAAUCACUAAAAAAACAUAUAAAUGGUAAAUAUUUUAUUUUUGACCAUUUUUUUUAAAAAUUAUCUAUAUAGAAAGAAAUAAAUAUAUUCGUAAAAAAAAAAUAAUGUUAUUGAUCUCAUACAUAAAAUAAAAUAUGGGAAAUAAGUUGAAAAUAUCCAUAUUUUCCUAUAGUUUGUGAAUGUUUUAAUUUAUUUUACUAUUUUUGAAAAUAUCCAUAUUUUAAAUUUAAAUUUAUUAUUUUUAAUGCUUUCAAAAUUACUUAAAAUUUUACAUUAUAUAAAUCUUUUUGACUAAAAUAUUCAUUUAGGUUAUCUUUAGUAUUUUACAAUCACCACUUUUACGAUUGAGUUCAAAUAUCGUUUAAUACAAUUGAAUUGAAUGAGAAAUAGUAUUUUAAAACAAUUUUUAACAACCUAUGAUUAAUAAAAACGAUUAUAUAAUAGUUAUUAAUUUGACAAUAGAACUUGUGUGUAUUUGAUAAUGUUAAUGUUUUUUACCUAGUUAAAUUGUAUUUAAACUAAAAGGAUAAGCAAAAAUUUUAGAAAAAUAAACGCGAAAUAAGAAACAAGAAAUAAUUAUUAAACAAAUUUUGAUUUUUUUCGAGAAACAAAAAAUAGAAAUAAUUGUCAAACAUAAUUAUGUUGUUUUUUGUUCUAAAAAAUAAUUAAUGUACAAGAAACAGAAAAUGAAAACAUUAUCGGACAGACAAAUUGUUGACGAAUGAUAAGAAGAAAAACGUUACAAAAACCACAUCUUGAACCCCUUAUUUUAAUCUAAAUAUUUUAAAAUUAGUUUAGAAGAAUUAAAUUCUUAAACUUUAAUUAGUAUUAACUUUGUUUUGUGUAUUUUAGAAUGAAUUACGAUUUAGAUUUUAUUAGUGUAGGUAAUAUAAAUUAAAAUGAUAUAUUUUAUAUAAAGAAAAUAAAAGAAGAAUAAAGAGAGUUGAAAAGAUACAAAAAAUUGAGACGAGAAAUGUUUGUAAGUUAAGUUAUGGAAAAAUGAGUAAUAGCGGUGGGAGUGGGUGCGUAAAUAGAAAAUAUAAGUUUUGGAAAUAUGAAAUUAAUGACUAUAUUCGUGGGUGCGUAGAUAUGGAAAAGAUCGUAUAAUGCCUUAGCCUACCUCUUCUCUUUUCUUCUCUUUUUGUGUAUAUGUGUGUGUGUGUGUGUGUGUGGUAAACAGGUAAAAGUGUAGUUAAGCGAAGAUAGCGAUGGGUGUUAUUGCAACUUCUUCUUUCUUUCGAGCUUCUGCUCUUUUGUUCCAUCUCCUUUUACUUUCUUCCUUCGUUUCUACCCAAGGUAAACAUUCUUCUACAUCACCUUUUUCUUUCUUUUUUCUUUUUACAUCCUAUUAACCAACUUAAAAAACACUAUUUGAAGUAGUAAGAAGAAUAAUUAAACCUUUUUAUAUGUUUGGAAAUUAUAUGAAUUAGGUGGAACAUGCCAAACAAAUUCGAUAGCAAUCAACCAAGCACAAGGGAAAAGAAUGUUCAACGGAAUCCCAACAUAUAGAGUGCAGAUAACAAACCAAUGUUUGGACAAUUGCAUUAUAUAUGAUCUCCAUCUCAAAUGUGGAUCCUUUUCUUCUUCUGCCUUGAUAAAUCCCCGCAUCUUCAAGAGACUUGCUGUUGAUGAUUGUCUUGUCAAGAAUGGAUCACCAAUUGUCUUUGGUGAAACUAUUUCAUUUGAAUAUUCUACUACCUUUAUGUUUCCUCUUUCCGUUUCUUCUCUCAAAUGUUAAAAAUCUUAUUAUGACUUUAAUUUUAAUUUGUUUAGUGAGGAUAGAAUUUUAGGAUUAGUGGUUAGGUUGUUUUAGUUCAAUGCAUUCACUUAUGUUUUAAUUUAUUAAUGGAUAUUUUAAUAGUAAGUGUUAUUUUGUUCUUCUUUUAUCAAAUGUUGGCAUUCUCUUGUUCUUUUGGGAUUUAAUUUUUAAAGCUUUGAUGUUGCCCAUGUAGGUUAAUAUUGAGUAAUUGUGUAUUUUGUCCAUUAAUUUCCACUAAUACAAAUUGUAAUUAUACACAAAAUAAUGCUAACGUAUAAAGAAAGAAUAAAUACAAUAAUAUACUCCAAAAAUAUAGUCAAAUUAUUCUAAUUAUGGUAAUAGCCCAUAUCCUUAUUCUUACUAUAUUCUGAGUCGCGAGGAGGAGGAUCAUGUUAGAACGAUUCUAAAUUUACAAUAUAUAAUAGGUUAAUACUUUGGAAUUUAAAAGAAUGCUUAAAGAAUACAUGUAAAUGGUACAAAAUUGAAACGAUGUCAAUUGUGAAAUCCAAACUCAAGAAUUUUAAGUUCUUUUUAUGUAUAAUUAUUAUAUAGCAAUAAGUGCUUUGAUUUAGUGUUUUGAGUUAAGUGUAAAAGAUUCUUUUUUACGAUGUACUUACCUUCUUUUAAAUAAUAAUCACCGUAAACUAAUGAACUUUUAUAAGUUGUACGAAUUCUUUAAAAUUUGCAAUUUAUAGUACAUUAUUAUAGUCUUAAUUAAUGAUCUUAUUUUUACCUUCUUACCAUCUUAAAAUGUUUUAGGUAGGUAAUUAGUAUCUACAAUCUUUAUAAAAAAGUUGAUAAGUUGACUAUGAACAUUUAUGAUUAUAGAUUUAUGGUUAAUUCAAAAUUUGAGAAUGAAUGAGUUUGAAAGUUUCUUUCUUUGGAAAAAAUUAAGAUAAUAGUUACAAAUAUUUAGAAUUUGAAAAAUAUUGUUUAUUGCUCAUUUCAAAUUCCGUCAACCAUACCAAAAAAAAUAUACAUAUAUAUAUUGUAGCAUUUGCAUUUUCUAUAAAUGGUGAUAUGUAUUUGGUAAGCAAAUCAAUUUUCCAUUUGUAUGUUAAGUUGAUUGAUUUGUAGUAAAUGUGUCAAUCCUUGAAUUUUUUCUAAUAAAAAAAACUAUGUGUUAGAUGAAUUUUAGAUUUAUCAUAGUUUAUUUAUAUUAUUGUUACUAAUACAUCUUGGUAAGUUUGUAGAUUUGAUGGUAAACAAUGCAUUUGUAUUAUGUCAAUUAGGGGUGUUAAAAAAAUAGUUAAAAAUCAAACAGAUUGACAGACUGAACCUCAACCGAAUGAUGCGAUUUGAUGUAGUUUGUGUUAAAUAGAAACUCGCUUCUUAUGCAGUUUGGUUUGGUUUAAGACAUUAAAUCGAUAUUAAGUCAAUUCUAAAGUCGAACUAAACCGUUUUUAUUUUAAUUAAUUAAUUAUAUAUAUAUUUUGAAAAGAAAAUAUAUAUAAUUUGGAGCGGAAGUGAAAAGGAUGACAUGGAAAAGAAAAAGAAGAAAAACAAAAAAACAAUUUGGAGCCGGAAAAUGUUAGUCGACGAUCGAUUCUCAUUUCUCAGUCUUCAAAAGAGCGGGAAACAUAGAAUCUGAAAUAUAAUACAAAUGGUCGAUUGAAUUUCCUACCCAGAAAUCCGAGGCAUCAACGUGGGUUUGUUUAGGGUUUUUCACUUUUAGGUUUGCUUUAUAAUCAAUCAAAUGAAUGAUCAAAACGAGAGGAAAGGGGAAGUAAUCGUCGAUUUUGAUUUUGAUUUUGGGACUGACCCUAAAGCUUUAGAUAUCAGUGGCAAAGUUCAUCAGCUUCCCUGUACCAUCAAAUUCGAUGGUCCUUGCCCUGUUUCUCAUUAUUUUAAACCCAAAUCCACUGGUAAUGCCCUAAUUUUUGCCGUUUAUUCUACUCCACUUUAUAUAUUUAGCGUAAUUUUUUUUUGUACUUUACUCAGUAGUUUCUUGCCUAUUAUAGGAAUUGAGGUUGAUGGUUUGAAUCUUGAGGAAGCUUAUUUUAGAGGAAGAAAGUUGCAAGGAGCUACAAUUUCUCUUCCGGAGGGUUACUCAGGUAAUAUGAAAUUACUUUCAGCUUUCACUUCACUGAAAAUUCGAUCUUCUUUGUUGACAUUACCCGCUUGUAUUUUGUAUUGUUCAUUACUUCAAUCUCUUAGUCACCUAUCUAGUGCUUACAUAAAUUAUUGGUUUCAGUUAUCUUUAUUCUUUGGCAUGAUAUUACUUUAUAAUAUUAAAAGAGUUUUCUACCUUAAUUUCUUAUAGGGUGGAAACAAUAACAAACAAAGAAGAUGUUACUGAGUAAAUCAUGAACUUGAAAUUUCCAUAUUAGUUGAGCUUCUGUCUUUCAGAGAUAUAUUUUGGGCUGGCUAUGAACAUUUCUAUUAUUGAAAAAUAUUGUUACUGUGAGCAUUGGUUUUUCUAGUUUUAUUGGACGUUUUAUUUGGGAAUUGGGAUUGGAUGUUUUUAUCUUAAAAAAAUAGAAUGUUUCUGCUCUCUAUGUAGAACAAUGAUUACAUAGUCAUAGGGUCACAUGGUUUUGUCUUAUCUUAAACAAGGCUUUUCCAUCAAACCAAUAGAGUAUAGCUCAUCAAAAGCUUGCUGACAGUUUAGUUUUUAAAAUGAAAUUUAUUCCAAUUCAGGCAUAACCACAAUUUACUUCCUUAAAAUUGUGUAUUUUUUCAUUUAUCUGUUUUAAUUCAUGUGUUGUUGUCUAAAAGAAAAGUAGGUUCAAAACCCCCUCAAUUGGCUAAGGCGAUUCUUGUAAGUAUUCAAAUAAGCAGAGAUUGUAUAUGAUGGUACUGGUUGUUCUUGUUCUCUGUCUUAGCUGCAACCGUUUCUCAUGUGGGUUGAAUGGGAAUCACUGAGGCAAUUGCUGAAGAGCUUUCCUACAACUCUUAGCCUAUUUUAUGAUCGAUGUUCUUAUUUCACUUGUAACAUGCCUGGAUAUAUUUUGAAAGAAUUUCAACAUGCCUUCUGAAUAUGUUUUGUGAAUAAAAAACGCUAGGGUGGUACACUGGUUGAAGAUAAACAGAGUAUUUCAACUGGAACAAGUUUAUGAACAAGGAAUCUUUAUUUGUUUCUUGUUUUUGAUAACUAUUAUCAUUAUCUUUUUAGAAUUUGUUUUACUGCUUCAUGUCUAAUUUCUGCUUAUAGGAUUGUCAACAGCGUAGGGUCUAGUCAUUUCAUGAGUACAUGCACAAUAGUUCCUUCCGGGUUUCUUUUCCUAUUUUAUUUUAUUUUAUUUUUAUAAUGAUUACUUGCAGAAACUUCAGUGGGUAAUCUCUAUAACUAAAGAUUGACACAUACAUGCCACAUGGGCAAGUUCCAUGUUCCCAUUCUUGGUUUAUAUUCAUGAAAAUAAGAAGAAUACAUGCAAAUAAAUAACUUGAACCUUCUCGUUUACUGUCAGUAAGAUAUGUUUGUUUUCUUGUUGGGAGAUUUGCUAUGAAAAAAAUCAUCGGUUAUUUGAUGAUUCUAGAAAAAGGAAAUGAGAAGGAAUAAGCUAUCCAUUUUCAUGUUUCUUUCAGUUAUUAGGCUGCUAUGUAAGAACAGUUUUCUAACUCUCCCUUUUUUGUUUUGUAAUUCUAGCCAAUCGGAAAGUAUAUAUAUAUAUAUAUAAAUAUUAAGGGCCUUGUUUGAGUGAACAUGAGAAUAUCAGAUCUCCUAUCCUUCUUAGAGUAAAUGUAAAUGCUUUCUGUUAAAAAAAAAUGCUCUGUUUGCACCCUUUCUAUCUAAUUUGAACUUCUGCACUAAAGGCAUCCAGAACUAAUAUUAGUUUAAAUUUGUCCCACAGUUCAUUUUUAACCAAUUUGAACUAAAGGAUCUAAUCUAUGUUUCUUUGUAAAUGUUGUUCUUCAGGCUAUGUGCUAGGGAAGAAGAGUAAAGCUUCUGAACAGUGUGAUGACUCAAGCCCUUGGCAGGUGAAGGCCAAAUUUGAUAACAUUACAUAUUGGAACCAUGACACCCUGCCGUCACAAGAUGAUACCUUCCAACGUACUUUUCAUUGGCUGACCGUUGCACAAGCAGUAUGAUUCUGAUCAAUACACAUCAAAAUGAUUAACAAUUUCAUGUCUUGUUUGCAUUUUUCUAUAUCCAAGUACUAAAACUGCUAUGAGGUUUGAGAAUAGUUUCAUGCAAGCUUUAAACUAACUACUAAGAGAUGAAAAAAGUGGGGGAUUUUUUAAUCAAAUAUAUUAGGUUUGUUAUGUAACUCCAAAGUUUGUGCAUCCUUCUCUCCAAUAUUGGCCAAAUAUUAAAGAAGAUUUAUAUUGUUCAUAACAUUUCUUUUGACUAUGCUUUGAAUUAUUUCCAUUAUCGUAUAACUUUUCAUAUAUUGAUCCUAAUUAAAGUAACAUAGGUCGAUAAUAUUUAAGUUAUAAUAAAAUUUAUAAAGAAUUACAAAUAUAACAAAAUCUAUAAUUAAUAGACUUCUACCAUCGAUAUAGUUGAUCAAUGAUAGAGUUUGAGAACUAAAUUUAAAUUAUCAUAUCUGCCAAUUGUUUUGGAUUAUGUUAUAUUUGCAAAUAAUUUGGAUGUAUGAUGAAUUUAAUUCUCCAAGUUUCUUACCUUGUGGAACUUUUGUUUAUGGUUGCAGUUGCACAAACCUGUAACAGCAGAAGACUUGGCAUCUGCAUCUACUGCUCUCAAGAACUUGAGUUGAUUAGGUUUAGGAUCAUGUGUCUGAGAAGAAAACUUCAAAAGACUUAGAAUUGUUCCAUUCUACUUCGAUUUGUAUUUGAUGUAAAUUGUUAUCUAUCUUACCAAUUUACUUGAUGGGUAUGGCAUUUUAAACCAUAAUGUCACUGAAAGAUUUUUUUUUUCUUUUCAAUUUCAAACAAUUGUUGUAAUACUAUAAACAUGAUUUACAUUGUAAGUCUUUCCCGUCCCUAUGAGCUAUCAAAUUUUGAAACUGUUUCCUUUUAUAAUCUUUUAAAGAAGAAAACCUGUUUGAGUUUAUCAAUUUGAUAAAUUAUGUUUUGAUAAUCUUUUCAAUUUUUAAAGAAAACAAUAUUUAGGUUCGUUUAUUCAAUUAUGUUUUUGAUAAAUACGUGGUUUUCGAUCUUUUUUCAAAAAAGUUUAACCUAGCUUGCUUUUUCAUUUUACAAACGUUUUCAUAUUUUUUGACGAAAUGUUUGAAUGUUGUUGAUGAAAUUUUAAAAGCAAAAACAAUUUUAAAAAACUUAAAAGAAUUACACAUUUCAGCUUUCAAAAUAUGGUUUCGAACUUGAAAUAUUUGUAAGAAGGUAGAUAAUAUAAGAAUGAAAUGAUGGAAGUAGUAUUUAUCUUUAAUUAUUUUAUUUUUGAAAGGUGUAGUUGUGUAAAUGACAAUCAUGUCUCGAAUAAUAUCAAUCAUAAAAUAUUUAACAAAUAUGGCAUAAAUUCAGUUCAGCACUACUUCCAUCUUUUUAAAGAUCUACGAUCAAAAUGUAGCCAUCAAAUUCAACCUAUCCGUGGAUAUUAAGAUAAAGUAAAAGAUUAAUUUGUAAAUAUACGUCACAAAGCCCGUCAAUGAUAGACUAGAUCAUUGAGAUGAGUCCAUCACUGCUAAAUAUUGAUAGCGAUUUUGUUAUAUUUGCAAAUUUUAAAUUUUUGUACACUUAAUCAUUACUAGUAAUGAUUCACGUAUAAUGCAUAUGUUUAUGAAUGCUAUAAUUUAAUAUUUUAAAAUUACCUUUUAAGAAGGUUUAAUAUGAAUAAUAAAGUUCCUUUAUAUUUAUUAACGGAGAAAUUGCAUCAGAUGACAAAAAACAUUUAGAAAUAAACAGUCAAUUGCACCUCUUUUUUUCAUAUUGCAAAUAUGAUAAUAAUUAGUGAUAUCAGAAGUCUAUUAAAGGGUUAUCAAUUUUUUAAUUUACUACAUUUGCAAUUUAGAAAAUGUAGUAAUAUGAGCCCUAUUAUCAUAAUUUUUUUUGAUAUUUUGCAAGCAAAAUCAUGUUGGGUAAAUACACUGAAAUAACUUCUACUACGGGUGUAAAAGGGUCGUUGUGUGUUGGGUUGGGUUGGGAGACAUUCUCAACCCAACCCAUAUUUUCGGGUUGGUUGGGUUGUCAACCCAAAUAACCCGAAUUAAGUUUCCAAUCCAAUCCAACCCAUAAAAUAUGGGUUGAGUUAGAUUGAGUUAUCGGAUUGUAUUAUUAUUAUUUUUGUUUCUAAAUUUUAAUGUUUGUAAAUGAAAAUCAUUAAACAAAAAUCAAAUAUGUUUCAAAUCAAGUUAAGCAAAAAAAAAGAAAGAAAGAAACUCCCACUAUGAUUGUUUUACUUUUAUAUUAAAUAAAUAGAUAAUAAUAAAAUAUAGUAUAUAUAUAUAUAUUAAUUCGGGUUGGGUUGGGUGGCCCGAAUUUUUCAACUCUACAAUUCGAGAAAUAACUCAAUAAAAAAAAUCAAAAUUUUUAAUCCAAUCCAACCAAAAUUUUAAACUAAACUCAACUUAACUAAUAAAAUAUGGAAUAGAUAGUCUGAAUUGUCUGGUUACUUGGAUUAUUCUUACACACAUAGCUUCUACUACUCUAUAUUUUAGAAAUAAAUAAAUAAAAUAAUAUAUAUAUAUAUAUAUAUAUAUAUAAUAUAAUGAAAUCACUUGCAAGAACAAAAGAAGAAAAAAUAAAGAUUAGUAAUGGACACAUAGAUUUGAAAUGGAAAACGGAUUACAUUUAUUUUGUUGAGAUAAGAUGCCCUUAUUCGACUUCAAAAGUUACUUUUAUAAAUAAUAAAUCUAUUUUCUAAGGUGAAAAUAUGGAUGUGACAACAACCUUUAUUCUUCUAGCUAACACUCUUAUUCAACACCUAGAUUCGAUAUGCCACCCUUUAUAUGAAUCACAUUCAUACAUGAGUUCAUUCAUUCAUUUAAUUGGAUAUGUAACCACCUACAUAAAAAUAAUCUAAUAGACACCUAAACUCGAAAAAUGAUGUCCCAAAUAUUGAAGGAUACAAACGAAUAUUCAAAAUUCAAUAAUCAUAUGAAAAUUCUCCUAUUUUUCUCUAUUUUGAAAUGUGAUAUAGAUAUAGAUUUUAAUAUAGUAUAGUUAUAGAUAGAGAAUAUUAUUUUAAUUGGGUUUCCAAUUCGACUACUAAUAGGCACCCCAUGGAGUCGAAAAGGAGAGAGAGGAGAAGUUAAACAAAAUUUUUCCACCCCAGGUUUAGGUUGUGUUUUGUGAGAUUGAUGUCUGCCUUGUUGGCUAGAUUUUUCCCUUAGGUCCAAGUUCCAUAUGACUCUUCGAAAAAGUAAAGGAAAUGGAGAUGCUUUUCAAUUAGUGAGCAAGCGCAUGGGCCGACCUAUGACUGGCAUAAGUUGUCAUGAGGAAAACCUUUAAUACAUUUACUAUUACAAUAUUCUGAAAUAGGGUGAUUAUACCUGAAUUGGGUUUGAGUUUAGAUGUCGAUUUUUAACCCCACAUCACCACUGGUAUACAACUGUGUGGGUGGCAGUAUUUGUCUAGCAGCCUGGGAGUGCUGUUGUAACCUUUCUUAGAAAAUUCUAUUAGAAUAUGGAUGAGGAUAGUAAUUUUUAUACCAUUUGGGGUGGUCUGGUUUCCUUUAGCCUUGAGUUCAUAAAUCAUCUAUUUCACCUUCUUAAUCUUAGAUCAUGAUCAGUAUAUAUGUUUUAUUAUAAGGGAGGUGAAUUUCACUCAAGUCACCAAAACCCUCUAUGGGCCAAGUGCCAAUUGGAUAUUUAGAGAUAGAUUCCUGUUAGCAUAAAAGGGAUGGACCUUACUAUUGAUCUCUAACCAGAUCUAACAUACUUUCUUGUAUGCAAGGUUGAUGCCUGUUACCAACCUCCGAGACAUUACAAAGGAGAGGACAUUGUUGCUUUAUGCUUUAUCUAGUGGCUUCUCUGUUGAUAUGAGAAGGUCAUUUUCCAUUUUAAUAGUUGUAUCUUUUGGGCAUCGACCCACGAUAGUCAUGGGGCUCCAUCCUUCCACGCUUUGCCGAUAUGCUAGGGUGAAAUUUGUUCUAGAUGAGGAGAGGCUAUCUUCUAGAGUAUCUUGAAUAGGUCAUCCAUCUCAGCCUUCAAAGAUCACGUAAAGAAUGAGCAUCUUAGGAAUCCUAUUGGUGAGAGUUAAUAAGACUAAGAGGAGGCAACAAAUUUUAUGCAUGCCUUAGAACGAGCCCCUAUCAGUUGUGGUAGCACACCUUUUUUAGGAUGUCAGUCAACUGCAGAGCACCGUUCAUUAGAAUAGUGAUUGUAACAAGGCCACUUCUUGGUCAGUUAGGCAUUUAAAGAUUCAAAUAUGAUUUCAGAGUUGUUAUGUUUCCAUGAUGCUUAAAUUAAAUUGGAGCUUUUAAAAUUCAUCCCAUGAGUUCUAGUCUGCUUGAGUUAGGCAAUGAUGAGUAGCGCGAUGGUGUGCCUUGUGUCACGGUCAUACUUUUUCAGGGCGUGUUUGUCUAUGGCCGUAUGCCCGAAUGCUUCCCAUUUAUCUUAUAUUUAUGUCUUGAAUUUAGUUUAGCUAGUUGCUUUCCAUUUUAAGUCAUAAAGCUUGAGAGUGACGUUUCAACAUUUUCAUAUGCAAGCCUACUAGAGUUGAAAAUGUUCCAUGUGUACUAUGGGGGAGACAUAGUAGUUGAAUCUCCGUCCAAGUAGUGUUGCACUCUUUGCAAGCAAACCCUUUUCUCUUGCAACUAACAAUCUAUAUUGCAACGUCAAUUUCAAUGUAAUUCUUUCUUUCUCGCGUUUUAUAAAACAAUUUCUCAAGAACGCGAAGGAAGGUUACAUCAUACGCUGAGAUUGACCGUGACUUCCAGAUUUUGAUCGGUUGACUUGUUCAUCGAGUUUGAACAAGUGCCUCACAAUCGUCCGUACCGAGUUUGAAAGGCUACGAUUGUGACACCUUGUGCCCCUACUAGAAUUUUUCUUUGACCAUUCACUACUACAAAAACUGGCUCUCUUGACGUCUUAAAACUGUCAAGAAUGAUUCUUGACGGUUUUAAAACCGUCGUUGAAGCCAGUGUCAAGAAAGUGAAAGUUCUUGACGGUUGAUAAAAACGUCAAGAAUAGUGAAAGUUGACGUUUUAUAAAUGUCAAGUAUACAAUUUUCAUGACAGUUAAAAACCGUCAAGGGUGUGAGUGUUCAUGACAGUUUUAAAACCGUCAAGAAUAUGAAUGUUCAUGACAUUUAAUAACCGUCAAGAAAUUGAUUGUUUAUGACAUUUUACAACCGUCAAGCAUGUUUCAUAGUUUUUUUUUCUAAAUAAUAAUUUAAUUGUAUUUUUGUUUGUGUUCCCAUAAUUCUGUAUAGUGGUCUAACAAUAGUUUCAUAAAUAUAAAUGGACGAUAUUCAUCAAAUAUAGUUUCAAAACUUGAACAUAUAUAAAUAAAACGCUUCACCAUAUUUAUAUAUAAUCAUUUCCAAAACAAUACAUAUAUGCAUAUUUCAUAUCCUUUGCAAAAAUAAUAUAAACAAUCUCAUUAAAUUGUCAUAAGUUCAACUCAACUUCCUAAAUUAACUAACUUAUCUAAAAACUAUCCAAAAACUUCCCAAUAGCAGUUUGAAAAAGCUCCAAGUCGCGACGAAAAAGCUCUAAGUCACCGAUUCUCGCAGCUUGAAAUUUUUUUUUGAUGAUAAUUAAUAUAACAUAGCACAAUAGAAAUCCAUCCAUCACUAUUCAACUCAACAUCAUAGUAGAUUUUGUGUUUGCACAUUUAUUCAUUCACUUCAGCUUGUGUAAUUGUUUAGCGAUAGACCAUAAAUAAAUUAACUAGAAUUUCAAUGAAGUUAUUAGUAAGCCAGAAAAUACUUAUAAUGCACACAUGAGGGGAAAGUAAGUACAUUGUAUAAUUAAACAAACACCACAUGUUUUUCUACACACUUAUAAUUAUAAUGCACGGAAGAGUAAGACAUAAUGAAAUUGCAAAUCUAAGGUGGCCAAGCCUCUAACACUUUGAACUAUAACUUUCUUUCAACACAAUCAAACAAAAAGCCAAUACAAAUAAAAAUAUGCAUAAAUCACAACUGGAUAUCCAACCAUUGUUGUUUUAAGUUCUAAAAAAAUAAAUUUCUUGUUACCUAUUUUUGCAACUAUAGUUAAUAUGAAAGUGUAACACAAAAAAAUUAAACAAUAUUGAAAGUGCAAACAUGGUUAACAAAUUGGUUGUUACCUUUUUUUUAGUCCGAAAUAAGUGACUUGGUUAACAAAUGUUCUGCAUUUUACCUCCUGCAAUUUCAAAAGCAGCUAGAUUUUUAUUAGCAUGAACAAAGAGGGAAGUGAUUGAUUGAAUAAUAAAUUGCAAAAAUAUAAAAAAUUCCAAUAGAAUGGAGAAAUUUUGGAUACAAAUACCAGCUUAUGCAAUGAUGAAAUAACAAUGUAGUUCAAUCCACGGGUUUAAGACGUUUUCAUACACAAUAAACGUGAUUGAGAUCGCUGAGACAUUAUUUAGAAGGCUUGGUGUAAUAUAAUUCUCCUGUAAAACCCAUGAAUGCCUUCAAACCUGCAGGAUAUAUAAAUAAGCGACAGAGGAAAUUUUAUUCCUUUCUAAUUCCUCACACUCAUUCAUGAGAAAUUUCACCAUAUUUGUUCUCUUGUAAGAACCUAGAUGACUAAUAGUUCUUUUUUUUUUUGGUGAAUAAAAGUUUCCAAUACCUUAUGGAAGUCACUACAUUACAAAGAAAUAGAAACACAAUUUUCUCACCAUCAUUUCUUCAAUCGAAAAAACUCAUUCGUUCUCUUUAACUAUACAUUAUUAAGAGUGAUAUUCAAACUAAACAUUGGGAUAUUACUCACACAUUCAUAUCAAUAGUAGCUGAAGCAAUAUAUACAAAAAUUCAAUUAUAAAUCACCACGAGCAUCAUACACCCAAUUAAUAAUUAUUAAACCAACUGAUACCAAUAUGUGCAAGGAAGUAACAAAUCAAAACCAUCAUGAUCAUUAUCAAAGACCACAUGAAACACCAUAAAAUUCAAUCCCUAGACAAAGCAAGCAAUUCAUCAUCAAUUAAACAACAAUAUUUGAGCAAAAAUUCUACACAAAAUCCUAGGAGGAACCACGAUAUUGAUUUGUAGAUUCCAAAUUCGUCAUCAUUUGCCAGAAUUCAUACAUAACAAAAUCAUCCAAAUCCAUGAACGUGAUAUAAAAAAAACAUCAAUGAAGGUAGCUAUUUACCAAGAAUCGCUUGGUAACCCAAAUGUCCAUGGCAACAUGGUUGGGUGACCAGAGACAAUGGGUGGUGCAACUAUAUUUGAUAGAGAAAUUCCAGCUAAAAGAAUUAUGCAUAUAAAAGACAUGUUAUAACAGAGCAAGCACUGAACAUUAGUUACAUUAUUUACUCAAAAAAUUAAAUCCUAGAACACACCAAAACAAACAGAAAAACCUAUAUUAUGCACGCAACUUAAAGCAUCAAAUAUUUUGCUAAUGAUCUGCCCCAAAAAGAGAAGUUAGACAAGAGUAGAAGACAGAACAACGCACCUUCAGUACUGUGGUCAAAGAAGAAAAUGGUUCGAUGUCUUGAGCUUGUAAUUAGACUACCUAAUAAAGUCAAGAUCAAAACAUAAUACGAGAUCUAAAUAAAGAAAUGAGUCGUUUAUUCCAGAGAAAUGAGUCUUAGGGAAAAUAGUUACAUUACUCACCUACUGUGUGACAGUAGGGAAAAUACGGUCCCGUAUAAGCCAUAUCUCCUUCUAUCAAUCUGUAUCUUCUCAUAUCAAUCAUCAACUCCAUUGGAUUUGUAAGGAGAACCCAAAGCACCAUGUGAUAUAUGGACUUUCCCCAACUUUAUACGUGAAGAGGGAAGAGAAAUUAAUUUCUAACCUCUUCAUGCGUGAGGUUCAAAUUUCUAACCCAAAGCACCAUGAGCAAUACGUCGCUUCUAUACAAAUACAAAAGGUUCAAAUCACAAAUCAACAUAUCUUCAUGUGUACUAUGGGGGAGACAUAGUAGUUGAAUCUCCGUCCAAGUAGUGUUGCACUCUUUGCAAGCAAACCUUUUUCUCUUGCAACUAACAAUCUAUAUUGCAACGUCAAUUUCAAUGUAAUUCUUUCUUUCUCGCGUUUUAUAAAACAAUUUCUCAAGAACGCGAAGGAAGGUUACAUCAUACGCUGAGAUUGACCGUGACUUCCAGAUUUUGAUCGGUUGACUUGUUCAUCGAGUUCGAACAAGUGCCUCACAAUCGUCCGUACCGAGUUUGAAAGGCUACGAUUGUGACACCUUGUGCCCCUACUAGAAUUUUUCUUUGACCAUUUUUUGCCCGAUUUUGAUUUUCUUUUGGAGGAUUGAUGCUUUUAUUUUCUUUUAGAGAGUGCAAGUCAUGAAAGCCCGCUUUCCUAUCUCUAGUCUCAGGGAAGGUUUUAUGUUUUUCCUUCCACUUUGUCCUAUAUUUUCUUUGCUUAUAUUAGGGACAAUGUGUCUUUUAAGUUGGGGGCCAGAUGUGUGUCUUUAUUUUUGGCUUGGGGUCUUUAAGCAAUAUUCUUAAACAAUGUUGUGUGCUUUCUUUUUGUUAUUUGUUGCAGCCCUCUUGGUCUUGCAAUAACUUGCCUAUGAUGCACUCUUGGAAUAAUGCAUGUGUGAGGCAAUGUAUGAAGAGAAAAAAAGGGUGUGAUUUUGAAGUACUUUCACUUGAGUCUUUCGCCUGAAUAUCCUAAGUCGUAGCUUUAUCAAGGUCUUCUUAACACCAAUUUAGCAAUGCAUGCAUUAAGACACAACCAACCAAUUUUCCCACUUGUUUUAUAAAAUAUAAUAAAUGAACUCCCCGCAAUCAAGUUAGGGUUGUCCGGUGUUGGUGUGAUAUGAACCCUUGUGAGACGAGUGUGAAAGCUACCCUCCCAUAUUCCUUAAAAAUAAAAAGUAAUAUGUAUAUAUAUAAAAAGAAGAAAAAAUGAUGAGAAAGAAAUGAAGUUGGUUUGUACAAUUACAUGUUUGAGGAUAAAAUGAUUCCACCAUGUUAGUGCAUAAUCUUCAAGAUAAGUUGUCUUCUAACUCCAGUGAUGGUAGAGGUUUUGUUUGGGUGAACAUGAUAAACACUCCUUCAAAUAUUGGCUCAUGAAAAUUUAGUUGGGUGCUUGAAAUGGUUGCUUGCAUAUACUCAUCAAAUCAGCUACUGAAAUCCUUCUCAAUUAAUUUUUUAUACUUCACACGGAACCAAGUCCCUCACCUUAAUUCUUUUCUUCUUUCAAUAUAUGCUUUUAAUGCUGCAUAAGGAAUCUCUUCUUUCCAAUUUACUUUUUAGCCACAUGAGGUUUUUUCUUCUUCUGCACCCAAAAAAAUCCACCAACUCACAAUUCUUUCUUCUGUUUUUAAAAUGACAGCUCAAAUAAAAAUAAAACUAAAUUUUAAGAAAAAUUGUCAAAAAUUAUAAAUACUUGAAAUUAAUACUUGAAAUAUUUAACGGUACGAAAUUUCAUCUCAAAACUAAUUAACAAUAAUAGGAAUAGACAUGUAUAUCGUAUCAGGAGUAUGAUCUCUUGAGAUGAAAUCUGUUAUGAGUUUAUAAUUUUUUUUUAUUGAAUUGAAUACGUAGUCUAAUUUUAUAGAUUUUGAUACCAUAUUUUAGCGGAAGUAAAAUAACUAGUGUGUGGUGUCAUUUAAUUUUUAUAGCACUGUAUUCUCAACCUAAAUACAUGAAUAAGUUAAACCAAACAUAUAUAAAAAAAGAAACUUAUGCACCUUACCCACGGUUUUAUCAAAGUAUAGAAAAAGCACCACUUUGGAUUCCUUUUAAACUAAAAUGACCAUAACUAAUCGAAUAAAGGAGAAAAAUGCCAAUAAGAGGAGACAACACAAUCCCAAUGGAAUUGCAUAUAAUACGAAGCUUCCUCUCCAAAUGAAUAUAACUCAUACAGUUGAGCCCCAACUUCUUUCCAUUCAAUUUUGAUUCCCUCUUUACCACUCACAUAUAUAUAUAUAUAUACACACACACACACAAACAUACUUACUGGGAUUAAUCUGUCAUACACGCACGAGAAGUUUGGUACACGAUUGUUCAUAUAUUGGUACACAGUCUUUUAGCUCUUGGUACACGAUUGUGGACCAAAUCUAAACAAUCUUGAUACAUGAUCGUGAACCAAGAUCAUUUAUAUAUUGGUUAUGAAGAUCUAAACGAUUUUGGUUCACGAUUGUGUACCAAGAUCAUUUAUAUUUAGUAUAAGAUCGUGUACCAAUAUUGUUUAGAUUUGGUAUACGAUCUUGUACCAAAUGCUAAACGAUUAUGUACCAAGAUCUAAAUGGUUUUUGUUCAAGAUCGUGUACCAAGAUCUUUUAUAUUUGGUACCCGAUCUUGAACCAGAAUAAUUUAGAUUUGGAAGAGGAAAUAUAUGAGAGAUGAUGAAGAAGGAAGUAAUUGUAAAAGAGGAAAUGAAGAAAUCACGAACAAAAACAAGCGGAAAUAUGAAGACAAAUAAAAUGUAGUAAUAUGAAGAAAUCAAUAAUAUAUGAAGAGGAGAUAAAUAAAUCGCAAAGAAGAAAAAGAAAAAGAAGUAAAAGAAGAGAAAAUCGUUUGCAAAAUCAAAGAAAACUAUGAAAUUUAUGAAAAUAUUUUACCAGCUUCAUAAGUUUUUUAAUUUUAUUACACGAACUUACACGAAUCAUGAAUAUUUGUGUUUUAAUAUAUUUAUGAAAAUCAACCUAUAUCAAUUUUUCUCCAAUCUACAAAAUGCUUUAGGAUUAGGUUAAAAUGAAAGUUGAUAUUAAUCAUUUUCAAAUAUCAUAAAACUACAUGUUUUCAUCCUUCAAAAUCAAUUAAAUAUUAUGAUGAUUAAAAACCAAUUAAACGUUCUUCCUACUAUUUAAAUUGAUUGUAAAAUAUUAAUUUCUUUUUAUUAAUUUUAAAAACAAUAAAAGGGAUCUUAACUAUUUUAAUAAAAAUAAUUGCUAAACUCUAUGCAUAUUACUCUUAAUAAACGUAUAGUUACAAAUAUGACAAUUUACAUUAAAAAUAACUAAGUAUAUAACUACAUGUAAAAAAAUUGCAAAUGUAACAAAAUCUAUCCGUGAUAGACCAUGUUGCAAAUAUUGGUCUAUCACUAAUAAAUCGUAAGAGUCUAUGAGGAAUAGAAGUUUAUCACGAAUAGAUUUUGUUAUAUUUGAAAUUUUUUUAAAAAUGUUGCUAUAUAGUUGAAGGAUAAUUGGAUGAAAUGGUAAAAUUGGUUUACAUGGUUGAAAAUUUAGCAAAAUUAGGGUUGAAUAAGAUUUUUAGCAAAAUAUUGAUACGCACAUUUAUGACUUUCUAAUAAUUUUCAUUUUAUAUCGUUGAUUCUGGGUAUUUCAUAGUUUCCAUGCGCAAUAUAUUUAAAAUAAUUAGUCCAACAUUGGCAAUGUGAUCAGGUUUGCGAAACACAGUGUCGUAUUUUGCAAACUCGAUUGUUAGUUUCUGAAUCGGAGAUUUAUUUGCUGGAGAAAAUUGCAUCAAAUCUUUCCUGUAUUAAAUUGAAUCUCUCUAUGGCCUUAGUAUCUCAAUUAGUUCUCAGAUUAUAUCCUAAUUAAAAUUGUAAAUAUUUAUUUACUAAGAUUUAGAAAAUAUAUAUUUAACUAAUCCCUAAUAUCUAUUUUUACUGAGAUUUCAAAAGUAUCUAGGUUUAAUAAGAUUUUAGAAUUAUGUAUUUCUAAUAAAUUUUCAAAAUAGGGUUGUUUAUCUUAUUCCAUUUAGUUUUUUAAACUUGUAUUAAACUAAUUAUAUUUAUCUUUAAUAAAUAUUUAUAUAUUAAUUACAUUCUAUGUACUACAUCCUUCAACAAUUUAUUUUAAAAAGUUGUGUAUAUUAUACAAACUGGAAUACAAUAAUAAAAUUGUAACCAAGAAGUUUUUGUUACGGCGUUAUAACAAGUAAAGACUAUUUUUUAUAGUAGAUAGAUCUAAUCGAUCUUCCCAGUAUCAACGAUUAUAGCGUUGUUGAGGUGUAUGGUCCAUUUGCAUCUUCGAUUAAAAAAUUUGUUGUAUGUAUCUCGUUUGAGGAUUUACUAGGAUGACUGCAACAAUUCCAAACUCAUUCAGAUUGUAGAGGAUAGGGAUGUUUCGUGGCCUAUGUUAAUUUUAUAUAAAAGUUUCGAUAAUUAUUUAUUCGUAAUUAUUGACUCUCAAUCAUUUGGUGUUGUUGGAAGUUCAACAUUUUUUAAUAGUAAGCUUCCUAGAUCUAAAAAUUCACAUCAUGAUACAAGAAUUGUCAUCUUACGAAUAGAAAUAGCAACAAAAUUAAAAUGAGGUAUACAAAAUUAGAUAAAUUUUACUAUAUCUAUAAAGAGUUUUAUUUUUUUAAUUUUUUUCGCUAUGUUCAAAAAUGUCUCUAAUUCUAAUAAGGUAGAUGUCAUCUUACGAUACAAUUGUUGAUGGUUGUUUGACGUUGAUCUACAUAACUCAUGUUGGAUGUAGGAUCAUAGUAGCGAGAAAUAGCAAAAAUACAGUAGCAGUAGACAACAGCGAUAGUAGCAGCAGUAGAUGUAACAACAAUAGUAGCAGUAAACAUAAACAACAAAUUCUGGAACAACAACUGCAAUACAGAAACAAUAAGAACGUAUGGUUGAGUUGAGGAACACGCUAUCUUUAAGAAGUUUUGCGGCUCUGCUCGAGAAUGUGCAAACAAAUAAAUGUCUCAUCGUCCCUAAGGAUAAAACAGCCUCAUGCUUACAACUGACUGAGCACGGAAAUCAGCUUGCAAAAUAAAAUCACUCAACGUCAGACACAAGUUUGCUCGAGAACACCUUUAGAGAGAAUACAAAAGUAAUGUUAUGAUAUAUCUUUAGUAAUGAAGGGAAGACGAUAUAUAUAAUCAUUUGUCAGGGCAGCCAACAGCCACAAAUUAAAUAAGGGAGCAAAUUGUGGGUUGAAAAAAAAACGUCAAAUGGUCGCAAAAUUUAAUUUGACGAAAAUGGUAAGAAAUAAUCAAUUUCCGUUUUGGUUAAUAAAAAAAAGUUCAACAUUCUAAAACAUUCAAAUAAAAUUUUUAGUAAAAAGAAUAUAUAGAUAUUAUUUUAUCUCGACUCUCCUCGUCACGUUCGACAGGCAUACGUACGUUUGUCUAUGAUCUCCUCCCUGCAUUCAAAACUUGGGUGCCUAAGAGUCCAAACCCAUUAUGAUCAACCAAUGAGUAUACGAAAAGGCAUCCACAACCAAAAUUAAUCAACGUGAGAAUGCUUUUGAGAAUAAAAUAAUAUUAUAUUUCAAAGUUUUCAUACAAUGAUAUUAUCAUUCAAAUCGAAUUCGAGUAAUCAUGUUUGUACGUUUGACAAAUUGACUAUCCACACACACAUCCUUUUAGUGUCACACAAUAUGAUCCUCCAUGAACAUCCUAAUCUAUCUAGCUGUUGCCACAUCAAACUAUGUAUAUUGGACCAAAAUCACACAUCAAUAUUGACUUCCUUUAAAUUUUAAAAUACUUGCAUGUAAAUUUUUUAUUUUAUUUUUUGCACCAAGCAAAUCCUUACUUUUGCAAUGACUCAUCUUUCAAAAGAAAAAAGAAAUGAAACACAUGUAAAUUAAAAGUAAAAAUAAAACUAUGGAUUCCAAGAAAGAAUUUAUUCUUUGUGUGGUCGUAUUAAAUACACAACACAAAGGAAGCUUCAUCUAUAUAUAUAUAUAUAUCACAAAAAAAAGCUAAUUAAACCCUUCUUUUUAUAAAGUAAAAGGAAGUUUCUUUCUUAGCACUACGCGUAUUUUUCAAUUUUCACCUUUUUCUGGACGGUUCUUCUCUUAUAUGCUUUACUUCUCUUUUAUUUCAUCCUAUAAAACCCUUCAUUUUUCAUUGAUUUUUCUCAACUGCUCAUCCUUUUGAUAUUGAUUUUAAAGUUACAAACACAAAUUCAAGUUCUUUGAACUUCUUUUGGGAGCCUUUAGAAAUCAAACAAUGACAACCACUUGCCCUCACAGAGAAGCAGAUGAAAUAAAUGGCAAGGAAAAGAAUUUCAUCAAGGUUUGUUUUUUCAACUUUUCCUUUUUCUUAAAAAAAAGAAUUUAACUAUUUUAUUUCAAACUCAAGAUGUUUUUACAGACCUUUUUUUUAAAAACAUUUUUUCUAACGUUAUUUGAUAUUUCAUUCUAUAGGGAAUCACCAAAGUUUAUCCAACAGGAUUUAAUAUUACAUGGGGCAAUGAUGAUCGCUAUUGGAAUAUCACCAAGCCCAAUGUGUAAGUCUCAUGAUCUCUCACAACUGUUAAGAAUAUGGAAUGAGUAAAAUUGUUGUCUUUAUUUUCUUUUAGUUUUGAAGAACGCACCUAGCACUUAAUUAAUAAUGAAAUAAGACCACAGACAAUCUUGUGUUUUUGAAUUUCCUACAAGUUUCCAUUUUUUUUUUUUUUUGUUCUGUUACUACGUUUUAAGCUGACCAGUGAAGAAGAAUGUCAUAAAUAUGAACAAGAAAAGGAAACAUAUAUUAGCUUUGAAACACUAGUUAUACAGCUAUGAAUUCUGAAAAAAGUAGGGAGUUCUUGAAUCCACAUUGUAAGAAGUAGUUGUGUUUUUUGUUUUUUUUUAUAACCAGCGUAAGUACUCAAUAGACCAUGAAAUUGAUAUUUAUUUUUAAAUUAUGGAUCACAAAGUCUCAAGACCAGACAAGAAAAGAAGUGAAGUUAACUAACUCUCUAUACGACUAAUCCCAAUUUUUAAGUCCUUGGGUUAAACACGUCCUUAAAAUUUAUUAUUCUACGAGUUUAAAUUCAGGUUCGAUGGAUUUUUUAAUAAAUUAGACAAGGUACGUGCAAACCAUUCAAAUACACACAAGAAAAGGAAAAUCUAUAUCAAGAAUAAAUUAUAAAAGAUUAAUGUAUAAUAUGUGAUAAUAAAUUGUAAUUCUUUCUUCUUUUCAGGCCAGGAAGUUUAUACGUGGCAGAGUUGAAGCAAGUUUCAUGGCUUGAGGUGACAUGUUCAACUGAUAAUGUAGAAGUUGGGAAAUAUUAUAGAGUGGGUUUCAAUAUAACAAUGAAACCAGAUGCAUUUGGGUGGAAUGGGAUUGAUGUUUAUGUAAUGGCUAAAGUUGGGAAAAAAGGGAAAUUCACAUCCAUGAAAGUUUCUCUUGAAGAGAUAAAACCAGACAACAUACCUAUCACAAUCCCGAAGAAGCCAUUAGAAAUCUUUGUUAAUCCUGUCACACCCGAAGAGUGCAGAAGUACUAUUCAUCUUGGUUUGUAUGAAGUUUGGAGUUCAAAGUGGAAGGGAGGUAUGCAAAUCCACGAUGCAUUCAUUCACAGGGUUUAAUUAAAACUUUUAGCCAUAAACGUCUAUUAGAAAAAUUAGAUUUCAUUUCAUUUUAUUUUAUUUGUGUAUAUGCACAAGUAUACUUUUUGAAGUUUUAAAAUAUGUUUUAUGAGUUGAUGCUUGUAAAAGUUAAAGGAUGUCUUGAUUAUUAUCCAUUAUGAGAUUCUUAUUUUGUAACUAUUUAUUGAAAAGUAUUUUCAUCAUGCAAUGAAUAUCCAUGUGCUUAAACUUUAACUAUACAUUCUAAUCUCAUUAGAAAUUCAUGAAUAUAAUUAACGAGCACUUGAACACAUCCCAAAAUAUAAAAUAAAAAUUAAGCCCAUGAUUCAACAUUUUAAAAUUUGCAUCUAUAAAUGGAAAACCAACAAACCUAGCUCAAUUGAAAUUGUAAAAUGAAAUGUGGAACUACAUUUCACUAAUUACCGCCUGAUUGUAAUAUUACAUUGUUACUCGAUAAAUAUAAAAUAAAAGUUAAGCCCAUGACCCAACAUUUUAAAAUUUACACGAAUGAAAAAUCAAGAUCAACCCCAACCCAAUUGAAACCGUCGGAGGAUUAAAAUGUCCUUAUAGUUAAAAAUACGGAAUUGCAUUUGAUUACCAUCUCAUUGUUAUUGGAUUGUCAUCUGAUGACCACUAAUUAUCAACGAUAUCAGUUACAAAUUGAUUGUUGUCUGAUUACUGUUUGAUUGUUACAUGAUGUUCAUUGUUAAUGAUAUCGGUUUACCAUCUCAUUUCUAUUUAAUUUAAAAUAUUGAUAGUUAUUAAUUGCAGAUGAUAACUGACUAAUAUCUAAUGACCUUACUUUUUUUUUAAUUGCUAAGUGGAGUAUGAUAAUCAUCUCAUUAAAUGAAGAUCUUAAUUAACUAGAUUUGAUAAAAUCAAAGGAAGAAAAGUGUGUGUUUCAUGUAUCAUAAAUAUGUACGUAAAAAAAGAGUAGUGAAAAAUCUAAAUUAUAAUAAUAUGCACCUCAAACACAGACUAAAAUAACAUAGACUACAACACUCUGCCCUCUAAAUGCAGACUAUUAUAACUUACUCAUUGCCUCAAACGCUCCCUAAGUAGUUUCUUAUUACCACCAUACUGUCAUGUGAUGACCUUUCAUUUUUUGUCAAUUGCUAAGGAUUUUUUUAUUGCAUUAUGAGUGUCAUCUCAUUACCUUAUGUUUUUUUUUUUUUUUGCCAAUUAAUAAGUAGUUUUUGAUUACCAUCCAUUUUUGUAAUGUACAUAUAACAUUGUCAAUCAUCUUAUUGUCAGCGUGGAAAUUGACCAUAGGGAAGCUUAACCACGACAACACAAUAUUGAGAUAGUCAUUUGAUUACCUUCUGAUUGUCGUGUGAUUACCUUCUAUUUUUUUUUCAACUUUAGUAAAUCUUAAUGAAAUAAUCAUUUGAUUAUCUUCUUAUUAUCAUCUUACUGCCUUCUACUUUUUUGUUUUCAACUUUAGUUAGCAUUCUAAGAUAGUUAUUUGAUUAGCUUCUGAUUGCCAUUUGAUUACUUUUUUUAUCAUAGCAAUUUUUUAUAUUGCCUUCAAAUUAUAUCAUCAACAUAGAUUUGGGCAAUAAUGUAGUCUUUAUUACAUUUGUUUAUAGACAAGGUUUAACAGUUCCUCGAGUGUAUUCUUUAUGUGUUAGGAAGAUAAUAAGUCGUUCAUACCAAACUUUAAGAACUUUGAGACCAUAUAAAGCUCUAUAAAGCUUGUAGACAUAUACCGAGGACAUUCGAGAUCUAUGAAUCCUUUAGGUUGAGCAAUAUAAACUUGUUCAUUAAGUACUCAUUUAUAAGUUUAAUCUAGCUUUUGUCAACGUUCCUUGAUGUUUUAAAAGGACUUUCACAUUUAUGGAGGCUCUGGUUAGUAGUGAGGUUUGGGAUGCUGAAUUCCAGGUAUAUUGUCCUUGGCCUUUUCACUUCUAUCACCGUGGGCAUUUGAAAUUUAUUUAUUUUCUAUUUUUUUUGCAACCUUAACCGAAUAUCUAUGAUUGUUGAAUAUGAGCCAAGCCAAUGAGAUUGUGUAUGUAAAUUAGUUAAUUAGUGGUUUGACAUUCAAGGAUUUAAUUGAUUUUUAUCAUUUAAUGUCAAUUUUUGAAAUGGGUAAUGGAUUUUAAGCUCAAUAUAUUAUGUUGCCUAAGGUGGUUUCUAUUUUAUUAGGUUGGUAUUGUUGCUCAACACUUAUUGGUUUUUGCUACUACCUUUAUAGUCUCUAGGAUGCAUCCAUUAGGAUGUAAUAUGUGAGUGGCACUUAGAUAUUUGUUAGCAUAUCUACUCUUUAAUCUAACUUCAUUUCAUUAUCCAUUCAAGGCUGUGGAGAGGGAGCAUAUCUAAUUUUCUUUCAUGUUCUGGCAAUUGGCACAAAGUUACUCAUUUGGAAGGAGUCUAAUUUUAUGAAUGAUAUUUCACCAUAUUUUAUUUGAAUUCAAUUCCAAUGACACAAAUGUUAUAUUUUUAGGAAUACUAUUCUUGUAUUUAUGUUGAAGAGUCUGUAAGAUAACUGAUAAUACAUUAGCUAUAUUACUAGUACUUGGAAAGAUUGUGAAAACCUGAAAAGGUCGGCUCUAAGACCCCUUUUUACCUUCACAAUAUUUGAUGGAGAUUUCACACCUCCAAAAACAUGUCUUCAUUUGUUGAAAGGUUUGUUGCUGAGGUAUUCCAUGAUUUACACGAAGAGGUCAUUUCAACAGCCAUAGUCUUAUGAUUCGAGUGCAACAACUUGAGGCAGAGGUUCCUUCAAUUGAGAAAGCAUUUCUGUCCCAGACAAAUCAUACAUCUUUCUUCACUAGUACAUGUUCGUCUAUCACAUAUAUUGUUAUAUUUUUGCCAACAGUCAUGGUCACCACAUUGUUUAUAUUGAUGAACUUGAACAAUUAAUUAGAGAUCAUGAACUGGUACAAACAAAUGAAUUCACGUUCCCUCGUUUUCCACUUUAUUUUUUUAUUAUUUUAAAGAAUGUGAUUUAGGGGCUUAGAAGGUUCUAAUUUCUAGUCUUUCGUGGUUAUUUUAUGAUUUUAAUUGGAAGUUUGAAUCAGUUUCUGUUCUAAAAAAAUGUGUAGCGCACUUUUUCACCCCCACUUCUUCCAUUCAACGUCUUUCUGUGGCUUUUUCUUACACAUAAAGACAAAAUCGUGCAGAUUUUGAUUGUUCCAACUAAACUCUUUAUACAUGGAAUUUCCGUUGUAGAAUAGUUUCUUUAUUUGAUGAUAGUUGGUUUUGUAGCUAACUUAACUUCUAUCACUGAUAGUACUUAAAUGUAUAUCCUAUUGAUUGACAACAUUUUAUUCUUUUUCUUUUUUACAUUCUCCUGUGUUUGCUAUAGAGUAAAAUUUUUUGUGACUGUCUGCUAUAUUUAUGUUGUACUCUCUUUAAGCGAGUUGUACUCUCUUGCACUGUGAUGUAUGCUUAUAUUCAUGUGGUUUUUGUAGGUUCAACUGGAGCCGACAACUUCAUGAGUUUUGGUUCAAAGAAGUUUAUAUGGACCAUCAAAAUACACUGGCUAGCAUGGUUCAAGCAACAAAACAUAUUUUCAGAGAUGAAGGCUUACCAAUUGGUUGUUUAUGCUUGUGCAGAAAAUCAUAUUAUAUGUAUUUUGAUGGUAUUUUUACUGGUUUUGAUUAAGGGUUAGAAUUUCAUAGUUUCUGUUUUUUAUGUACUUGUAAAUUGUUUCAAACUUGAUUAAAAAUGUACGAAUAUUACCAAGUGUAUUAUAGCGUAUAUAUAUUAAAAUGUCAACUGUUUGUUUCUAUAUGGGUGUGAUGUAUUAGAACAUUAUUGUUAUUCAAAUGGUUCGUGUAAUGACAAAGCGGUAAGAAGAACACGAUAAACUAUAGUAAUUGAGGAAUUUGCAACGAGAAAAAAAUGUCAUAAUAUAUGAAUUCGUGACAUUUCUUAAUUGUUUUCAAUAUUAAAACAAUGACAAUUUUUAUAAAAAAAAAACUGUCAUGAUUGACCUAUCUUUGGCAGAAAAAAAUGUCGUCAAUAGCAAAACAAUGACAUUUUAUUUUAUAAAAAAUUGCCACGAUUGACAUAUGUUUGAUAGAAAAAAUUGUCAUAAAAUAUGAAUUCGUGACAUUUUUUUAACUGUCAUCAAUUUUGAAAAGAUGACAUUUAUUUUUAUAAAAACUGUCACGAUUGACAUAUCAUUGACAUUAAAAAAAUGUCAUAAUAAACAAAUUUGUGACAUUUUUUUUAACUGUCGCUAAUAUGCAAAUGAUGACAGUUAUUCGUUGUCAUAAAAUAAAAUGUUACAGUUAUUUGUUGUCAUAACAUAGUAAUUAAUGACAUUUAUUUUCAGUCAUGAAAAUACUUAUUGAGACAGUUUUCGAAAACAGUCAUGGAAAAACUUUUCACAACAGGCAAUAUUAUGACUGUAAAUCACUAUCACGAAUUUUGUUCGUGACAAAAAAUAACUUCAUCGUAGACCAUUUUUGUUGUAAUGUUGGAUAUGACCUUAACGUAGUUAUUUUUUAUAGGAAAACAAAAAUUUUCAAUUAAUGCUCAACGUAUAUAAAUUCCGAGGGAAGAAAAGGAAAAAACAAUGGGAGAACAAUGAUAAAGUAAAAAAUAAGCAUCCAAAAAAUAGAGUGAGCAAAGUGGCCCAUAAAUGAUGUAAUAGGGUGCGAAAGGAUGAGUCCUUCAAACAUUUCUGUAUUGGAACUUUUCUGUAUCAUCACACAUUAAUAGAACUAUUUAUUGUCUACAAAUCUAUUUCCUUCUUUCUCUUAAAUGCGAAAGAGAUGUUAUUUUCUUCUGUUUGUUUGUUCAAUUUCCCUAUUUGCUUUCUUUUUAAUAAUCUCAACGAGACUUUUUCAACUAAUUUACGCUCAUUAGAUUUACAAUUAUAGAAAAUCAUGGAUACACAAAAGUAGAUUAUCCAAAGUUCGUGAGUUCGGUGUGAAAAACUUCAUCAAACUUUAGUAGAAAGGGUGUUAGACAUUAUUUAUAUGUUAAUAAUAUUGAUGAAAGUUAUAAAAUUUGGUUUUAGCAUGAGGAAGUACUUCUAACUCAGCCUUUUAUGAAGAAUCUUCAAAGUUUGACACACAUACAUGUGAAGAGAAUGAUGUUGGAAGUGUAAAAGAAAUGAUUGAAGUUGUUCAUAAGAAGUAUUCAAAAGACUCAAAUGGAUUUGAGAAGUUGCUUAUUGAUGCUGAAAAACCAUUAUACGAAGGAUGCAAAAUGUACAACAAAUUGUCUACUCUACUUAAAUUGUAUAAUUUUAAAAGAUGUAUGGAUGGAUCGAUACUAGUUUUUCAGAAUUACUCAAAACUUUGAAGAAAAUUCUGCCUACUAUCAAUGAGUUGCAAAAUUCAUUAUAUAAGAAGCAAAGAAAACACGCCCUAAAAAUUGUGUUGUCUCUACGGGAAAAAAUAUGUUAAUGCAAUUGAAUGUAGAACUUUGGUCAAUCAAGGUGGAAAAACGUUAAUGAUACAAAUGAAGAGUGAAAGCGAAUUUUCUCAAAAAGGAUAUGAUACUUUCGACCAAUUCCACGAUUCAAAAGGCUAUUCAUAAGUAUUGAAUGUGCUAAAAACUUGACUUAGCAUGCUAGUGAAAGAAUUAAGGAUGGUAAGUUACGACAUCUAGUAAUCUCUUCAGCAUGGAAGCUAGUAGACUUUAAAUGGUCAGGCUUUGGCUUUGAACCUAAAAAUCUUCGUUUAGCAUUGUCAGUGGAUGGAGUAAAACCUUUAAAUACAGUUGACAAUGCUACAUUUAAAACUCAAUGAUACAUCCGAUGGAGUAAAUCUUCGUUUUAAAUAAAGUUGUUGGCCGAUAGUGAUGGUUAUUUAUAAUGUUCCACCAUGGUUGUUUAUGAAAAGAAAAGACAUGAUGUUAUGAAUGCUAAUUUUAGGGCCAUGACAACCGGCAAAUAAUAUAGGCACAUACAUAGCACCACUAAUUGAAGAUUUAAAACUUUUAUGGAAAAGUGGUGUUGAAUGUUAUAAUUCUUAUUGAGAAUAAAUAUUCAACUUAAUGUCAUUUUUGUUGUGACCGAUCAACGAUUUUCCUUCGUAUGGUAACCGUAGUGGAUGUGUUAAAAGAGACAUGUAAUUUGGGAAGAAAAUAGCAUGCCUAGAACAUCAAAGAUUUCUAGCAGGCAAUCGUCUGUAUCAAUGAUAAAAGAAGUCAUUAUUCAAUGGUAAAAAAAGAGCUUGGUACAAUUCCAUAACCACUUUUUGGGAAGGUUAUGUAUUUAAAAUUGAAAGAUCUUGAGUUUCCUAGAGAGAAGAAGAACCAUAAGAAGAUGUCAAUGAACAUAAUGAAAAGAUUUAUGUAACGCUCCAAAAAUUAAGAUAAUAUUUAAUUUGAUUAUCUUAAUUUUAUUUAAUUAUGUAGGAAGUAUUGGACGUUAAUUUAAAAUAUUUGAUUUAGAAUUGAUGGUCUUAUGAAAUAAGAAUUAAUUUAAUAUUUCUUGGUUGAAUAUUUGAUUAAUUUAUAGAAUUUGAUUUUUGAUGGUGUUGAGAUUGAACUUAAUUAAAUAAAUUGAGUGUUUAUUUAAUUAAAUUAAAAGGUAAAAAUUUUGUUACUAGACAUUUGAUAAUUAUAUGUCCAUGUGGUUAUAUAUAUAUAAUUAUUAUGGAAAAGAGUAAACAUAAUUUUAUCUAUAAAAAAUUAGUUAUUGUGGAAGAUAAUUAAUUAUUUUGGAGAAAGAUGAAUAUUGAUUGUCGAGAGAAGGGUAUGAUCGGGUAAAUAAGGAAAGGGAAGGAAUGAGAUUUAUUUAAAAGUAAAAUUGAUAAUUAUAUAUUGGGAAUAUAAUUAUUGAAAAAUGUUUGAGUUUUUAUUAAUUAUAUUUAAAUUAUUUCACUGUUAUAUUAAGGAUUGGAGCUAAAAUUUAAUUAUUAGAUUAAGAUAAGGGAAAUUUUUAACAAUAGUAGAUUUUACAAAAUUAUUUACAACUUAUAGUAAAUUCCAUCACUGAUAGUCAUUGAUAUGUUGCAAUGAUAGAAGACUAUUAGUGAUAAAAUCCAAAAUUUUGCUAUAGCUUAUAAAUAUUUAAUUUAUUUUGCUAUUUUUAAAAAUGCCACUUCAGACAUAUCAUAUUAACAUUUAUGAUAUUUUAAAAUAAUUGAUUUAUUGGAGAAGAUUUGGUUAAGUAAAAGAAUCGUGGAUUUAAGUUAAUUUAAAAUUUUGAAAGCAAAAGCUAGUUUUUGUGGUAUGAAAUUAAUUAUAUAUAUAUAUAUAUAUAUAUAUUUAAUUAAGAAUUUAGAUUUUAGUAGAAUAUGAUAUUAAUUAUUGAUUUUGUAUAAAUAAUUAAGGGGCAUUUUUUAAAAUAAUAAAAUAAAUUAAAAUAUUUACAUGUUAUGACAAAAUUUUUAAUUCUAUAACUGAUAGUCUUCUAUCACUGUAGCAUAUCAGAUAAAAUUUGUUAUAACUUGUAAAUAUUUUGUAAAAUUUGUUAUUUUUGAAACUUUUCCAAUAAUUAAUAUGAAAAAGUAAAGUUAGUUAUAUGAUGUAAUAUAAUUAUAAUUGUUUGGAAAUUAAGAUAUAAUCUAUAAGAAGAGAGAUGAUUGAUUUGAUUGAACGAGAAAAGAUGAUAUAUAUAAUUUGGAGAUAGAAAAAUGGUUUAAAUAAAGAAAAACUAUAAAAAAUUGCAAAUUUGACAAAAUAUUUAUAACAUAUAGUAAAAUAUUCAGAUUCUAUCAAUAAUAGACAUCGAUAGCCACGGAUAUGCUUUUAUCAAUAACAUUAAUAAACAAUGAUAGAAGUCUAUCGGUGACCAUUAUUGAUAGAAUCCAAAAUUUUGUUAAAGCUUGUAAAUAUUUUAAUUUAUUUUGUUAUUUUUAAAAGGAAAAUUACAUCAAAUAACAGAAACAUUUAAAAAAAAUAGUUUAUGACAUCAAUUUUUUGCAUAUUGCGAAUAUGAAAAAAUUAGUGAUAUCAUACGACUAUCAAAUGAUAAUCGUAGGGUUAUCGGAGGGCUAUUAGAUUAUAAUCAUAGCGCUAUCAGAGGGUCAUCACUUUUAAAUUUGUUACUUCUGCAAAUUUAGAAAAUGUUGUGACAUUGGCUUUAUUAUCAUAAUUUUUUUUUUGCUAUUUUUGUAAAAGUUCCUUUUAAGAAUGUUUCUAAAUAAAUAUAUAUGUUUUAUUAUAUAUUUUGGUGAGAGAAUAAUAAUAAUAAUAAAGAAGUUUUAUUAUUAUUAUUAUUAUUAUUAUUAUUAAUAUUAUUAAUAUUAUUAAUGAUUAUGAAUACCUAAGAUUUUGUGCGCUUAUGUAAUUUAUUGUUGAAAGAUAAUGAGAAUUUAUAUAUGUAUAUAUUGGUAUGAUAUAUGUAUAUAUGUAUGUAUAUAUAUGUAUGUAUCCUAAAAGGAAAAGUAAACAAUAAAGAUAAAUUUUAUUAUUUAGGUCUAUAAAUAGCAUUGAAAUGCUCUAAAAGAGAAACAAAAAAAAAAGAAAAGGUUCUUCAUCUUCUUGACUAAGUUUAUUAUUGGAAUUGAUUUUGGUUGCAUGUCUUUGGAAAGUCCAUUUGACAAAUUUAAAUAAUAAAUUUUUUCCAUCAUGGUUAAAUUGGUUUCAACCUCAAUUUUGAGAUCGAUUUAAUCAGAAACUUUUUACUAUCAGCUAGAGAGUAUUAUGUUUAGUUAAUCUCUCACGUAAGAGAUUCUACUAUUGGACAAUCAAACAUAAAAUUAAGAAUUUGCAUGUAUUUUUCCUUAUUAUGCAUUGAUUUAGUUAAGAUGCAUAUUGUAUUGAUAUUGAUGACUGAUGUUGAUGAUUGAUAUUGAUGACUGAUAUGUUAUGACGACGCAUGAUAUAUUAAUCACAUGAUAAGAACGUUAUGAGUGAUAUACAUGUCAUGUUAUGAUGUUUAUGAUGUUGCUACAUGCUUUUGUGGUCAUUCGCAUGAGUAGGGGUGUUCCUACGAGACCACUCGCACAAUUUAGAAGUGUACCUACGUAUCACAUGCACGAUUAAAGGACAUUUUUACUGUAUACGGGGUCACUCGCACGACUAGGGGUGUUUCUAUAUAUAGGCCACUUGCACAAUUAGGAGUGUUUGUAUGAUCUCACUCGCUCAAGUGUGCUCUAUUGGAUACACAACAUUAUUAUUAUGUUUCUAACAGAAAGUUAACAGAUCACCUAACGGGACAAGUAGUGGGUCCCUUACUGGGUAUAUUUUAUAUACUCACUAUUUUCUAUGUUUCAUAUUUCAAACAAAGGUAGAGGAUCGAAAAACUGGCAAGCGACAUGAAAGGUCGGUGACAUGCUAUAUUGGGACUCAGUUUUGCUUCUACCUCUAUGUAUUAGAAUUUUAGUAUUUUGGUUUUAGAAACCUUAUUUAAAGUUUAUCUUUAUUUCUUUUAAAAAAAAUUAUUAGUACCCGCAGUUCACGUUUUCAAAUUAUUUUUAUUUGUUUUGUUGAUUUUAUGUCUUCAACCAUUUAUUGAUAUUAGUUUUAUAAAACUUCUAGUUUUCUUUUUUCAUUUUUAAAUGUAAAUGAUUAUUUGUCUUUCAGUAAUGACCUUUACUUAGUUUAAAAGUAUGGGUCGUUACAGUUUUUUGAGUUGUCAUAUUAGAAAGAUCUUCAUAUUAGACAUUGUUUAGAUGUGAUGCACAUUGUAAAAAAUGUUUGUAUGAAUAUCUCAGGUACACUUCUUGGUAUACUUGAAAAAAGUAAGGAUGAGUUGAAUACUAGACAUAAUUUAAUUUAUCUAAAACUUUAACAAAAACUUGUCCGUAAAACAAAAGUAAAAAAAAAAAAAAAUCAUUCCUCUCGCAUGUUAUGCUCUUACAAAGGAAGAAAAACAAUGUGUUUUGAAGAGUUUAUUCGAAAUAAAGGUUCUUGAGGGUUACUCUUACAAUAUUAGAAACCUUGUGUCAAUGAUAGAUUUAAAACUUAACUAGUUUAAAAUCUCAUGAUUGUCAUGUGCUCAUACAACAGUUUUUUCUUUCCCAUCGCGAUAAGAUCAUUGCUAUCAUAACAUGUUCAUUAUGCUAUAAUUUAGGUUUUGCAUAUUUUUCAAUUCUAUAUGUAACAAGGUAUUAGAUGCACAACAAUUAGACAAGUUGGAAGAAGAUAUUGUGGUAACAUUGUGUUUAUUUGAGAAGUAUUUUUCCCAUAAUCUCACACCAACAAUUCAUUUCAAAUAAUGUAAAAUUUCACAUGACUGCCUAUUUCAUAUAUUAUACAAUUCUUAACUCCAAUUUAAUAAGCUAACCUAAAGAAAAGGCAGUAUGAGAAUAAAUUCAAUAUAGAAGAGGAAAAGCAUUGGGCUCAUUAUAAAAGCCUUUUAUUUCAACUUCGUUACCUUGAGUUACAAUCUCCAUUGAACUAUGGCAUUAAUGAUUUCCAAAUUCAUUAAGAUAUUGAUUGACUUAGGUCAAACAUAGCUUUCUAAAUUUUAUAAUAAUUAGCAAAUAAUAACAAUCAGAAGAUUACCCUGUGGUUUUGCCCUACUUGUAUACAACUUGGUGUGGGAUGAAUAACCUUGUUCAUAAGCCACAAGCACAACUCAUCACCUAAGACUACACCUGGACCUCCAACCAUUGGUUAAUUCUCCAAGUAAAGUUCACACACAGUUGUACAAAACCUAUAGAAAAAAUUAUGUUCAAGAAAGGUCGUAAUUGUAAAGUUCAAUCUACUCCACUGAAAUUGAGUUAUAAUGAGUUUGAGAAUGGUGAGCACAGUGAAUUGAGAAAAUAAAAUCAGCAAUUGAUUCUUCUUCCAUCAUUCUUGGAGAUUCAAAUUUUGACCUUAAUAUUUGUAGUGGUGAGGUUUUUACUUUUGAAGUUCCUUCGUAAGCUACUUCAAGAAUCUUCCAAGCUUGUCCUGUCCAAAUACUUGUAUUUAUUAAUUUAAGCACACUUUGAACAACUCCAUCGUAGAUAGCAUUAAGUGCACGCGAAUUUCUAAGAGAAGCUUGAUCUUCCGCUUCAAUUCAUUCUAUUUUAGGUUUAAGAGUUGUUUUACCAUCAAUUUUUUAUACUAGGAGGUUCCCAUCCAGUAACAACAGCUUUCCAUGUUUUACUAUUAAUGGAUUUGAGAAAUAUAGUCAUGUGAGCCCUCCAUUAAGCAUAAUUUGUGCCAUCAAGGACAUAUGGUCAAGUAGUAGACCCUCAUAUUCUUUAAUUAGAUCAAUUUCAUUAUACCCUUAGUUUGAUACCAAUUGAAAAAGUAAAAUAUAUUACUUUUUAAGUUGUUACUUUAGUUAGAGGCUAAAUUUAUAAUUAAGGAAACAAGAAGUAAACAUAACGUUGGAACUUUGAAACUUUGAUAAUCGACUUUGAUCAAUAUCACCUAUUUCUAGAGAGCUUUGAAGGUUAGAUAAAUUUAUUUUAUUAAGAUUCAAAUUAGUAUAAUUUUGAGAAAAAAAAUACUAUAUAACACUUUAUUAAACUAGAUGCCACUUUCUCUAGAUUGAUACGCUUUUAGUAAUUGAUAUUUACUAAAAGAAUUCGACUCCCCUUUGAACCUAUUGAAGAUUAUUAGGCUCCCCUAAUUUUUAUAUAAUUGAACACAUCCAAUUAUUAAGGUCUUUUUUUAAUCUCUUAUCUUCGUAUAUCUUGAAUCGGUCUUGAAAAAAUCAUAUAGUCUUCAUUAAAAUAUAUGUUUAUAAGAUAAAGACUAAUCUUAGACAAAGAUCCUUCUAUGUGGCUUUUUGUUGAAUGCGUCUUAUUGAAUACCUAGAAGGAGAAUGAAAGUUCAUUUUUAUAAAUAGAUAUUGAUAAAGGUCGAACCAAAAUUGGAAAAGUAAUCUUUAAAGAUAUUUUAGUUAAAAAAUCAAUCUUUAAAGAUGAUUCUUGAUCAAAGAUCUUGAAGAGACUUGGUGAUGAAGAAGUAAAAAAUAUCUUCUUGAACAAAUUUUCAUGUUAGAGAAAAAGUGAAUUCUUACCAACUUAGAAGAUAUUUUAAAAUAGUUCUUUUAAAUAAAUAAUUUUUUGUAAAAAACGUAACAGUAUGUUAAAACAUUCAUAUUUGAAGGACAUCAUAUACCAGUUUUUUAAUAAGUGACAAACAAAAUCAAGAGAAGUCUACUCUUAUUUCAUAAAGUGAAAAACUAUUCUGAUCUGGAUUCGCCCAUCCAAUCUGCUAAAGAACUAUAUGCUAUUCCAAAAGGAUGAAAAGAGGAAAGGAAGGAAGGAAGGAAAGAGAGAUCCAAAAACGAAGAGAGACACAUUCCAAUUGGGCACUAAGCAAGAAAAUUUUGAAGAGAAUUCGAUUCUUGUUUCUCCUUGUGAUUGCAUGAUACAAAAGCUUUAUCGCAAAUGAUUUGAUUCUUUGGUUGAGGUCCAACUCUUUCAAUUUGGUUUAGAUACCAAAUUCUACAAAAUUGGAAUAUAUUCACACAAGCGCUUCCUUCCAUCUUUCUUCCUCCAUAAAAAAAGGCUUCUAGUUGACGCUGUUAAUUACUAUAUAUCAAUGAAGUAAAGAGGGAAAAGAAAAGCUUCAAUAAUUAACUACAAUUACCAAAACUAAGUUGAUCGAUGCCUUUUCUAGGUCGGAGACUAAUCAGACCACCUUCCGAUCCUCACUUUCGAGCUGUUACUUCUGUAAAUACUAUUGGUGUAAGCUUCCAAAAUCUCAUUUAUGAUUUAUAUACUAAUUUUUUUUUAUUUAUAUUAUCAAUUGUCACAACUAUGUCAUAAAUCUAAUUAAUUCGAAUGAAACCAUAUCUCUAGAUCUCUAUACAACGACUUUGUUAUUAGGCUUAACUUACUAGUAUAUAUAAGAUUGUUGUUGGUAAAAACAUGAGUAGUUCAUUAAAUUGUUACGUACGUAUUAUUAUUUUUCAGCGUUUUUAAAUUCACAACCAGAUCACAAUUCUCAAUCUCUUUUUCUUUCUUUCUAAAUUUAAAGUUUUCAAAUGGUUUGGGUUUGUUCAUAGGUUUUAUGUGCUUAUAAACUUUAAUAUUAUACUAAUUUGGCAUUAGAAGAAAGUAUCUAUAAUUCAGUUUAAAUAUAGUUGUGUUUGAUAUGCUUAUCAAAGGGUUUGCAAAUGAGUAAAAUUUGUGUCCUUAAAAGUUACUAAUGUUUGGGUUAACUCUUAAUUAUAGAGAGGUAAAAACAAAUAUAAAUAAAACUUAGAAGUCUUGACUAAUUAUUUCUUUCAAAAGUGCUUAGGUAAUUAGUGUUUUAGUUAAAAAAGAAAAAAUAACAAAAAGAAAAAGUUUAGUCUUUCCCUGUACAAAGGGUUGUUUGAGGUCCAAACACAAGAUAAAUGAAUUCAAAUUAGUUUAUUAGUGUUUGAGUUAGGAAGAAAAUGUGAAAGUUUAUCUUUUUAAUCAUUCAAUCUUUAAUAAUGAAGUUUAGUUUUUGAAUUUUCAUAACCUAGCCUUUUAGUCCCUUAAUCGUUAAAAUGUGUUUAAAAAGUUAAUUUUUUAAUGUUAAAUUAUAAAAAGAAUUUGGAAAAGAUAAGUUUACUAUUUAAAAUUACUUUUAAAAAAUCAAUUUGAAACUGCUAUACAAUAUACAUAUAUAUAUAUAUACAUAUAGUUGAUUUUACGGAAUAAAUCUCUAUUUCAUUGAUAAUUUAGUAGAGUACGGAAAUAAUAUCAAAAUAAUAUCAACUAAAAAUAAUUUUAUUACGUUAAUACAUAUAUAUAUUACAUUAGGAAAAAUUUAAACCUAGCCUAAGAGGAACCUUAUAUAAAGACGGUAAUUAACAAGAAAAAUUAUUUUAAAUAACAAAUUUGUUUAAAUAAUUAUAAAUAUAGUAAAAUAUUACUAUCUAUAUAAUAUUGUUAUGUUAUAGAAGAUAGACUACUAUAUAAUUAUUGUAAUAAUGAUAAAUAUUGGUUUGUCGUAGUUCAUCGUAUAUAAAGUGAGAUAUUUUAAAUAUCUCACUCAAUUUAGUUAUAUUUGAAAAUGUUUUUAAAUUUUGUUUGGAUAGAAGUAAAAGAUGAUAUAUAAUGUCAUAUUGUUAAAAGAAGACGAUGUAAACAAAGGUUUUAUCAUAUUUGUAAUAUAACAUUUAAAUUGAGGAUAGUCACAAUGUUUUAGGAGGACACAUUCAAAAUUUAUCCAAGGGCUCUAAAUAUUACAUGGGGCAGUGAUAGACGAUAUUGGACCAUACCUCGUCGAGACCGGUAAGCUUCAUCUUUUUAACUUUUCUCUAUUUUAUUAUAUUUUGAUGCUUAGCUUCCUUUUCUUAGAACAUAAAUUCAACUUUAAUUUUCCAACCUACCAUAAUUUAACCAAUUUAGGUAUAUAUAUUUUCCAUGCAUAAGAAAAGAAAAGAAAAAUUCUUAUCUCAUACCAUAUAUAUGUUAAAUACCGAAAUAAUAAUAAAGAAAAUAUACUUUUUUGUUCUAAUGUUUUGAGUAAUGGGUAUAUUUGGUUCCUUGAAGGUUCAAAAUAGAAGUUUUUAGUCAGUAGGUUUCGAAAAAUAAUAAGAGUUUUUUUGUUUGAUUUUGAUCGAUUUUUGGUCUCUAUAAUUGGUGAUAUCUUAUAUAAAAAUGGAAUCUGGGGUAAGAGAUGGAAAAAGAAGGUUGGUGAAGGUUGAGGUGCCGGAAAAGUUGGAAGAAGAAGUGGCGGAAGAGGAGGUUGAGGUGAAGGUUGGUGAGGGGCAAGGUGUGAGAGAGAGAGAGAGAGGGAUCCAUCCCUAAAAUAAAAUAGGAACGAUAAAGAUGUAUUUUCUAAUAAUAAAACAAAAAACAAAUCUUUUUUACAAACUCCUCCUUUUAUGUUUAGCCUUAUUAAUGUAUAUUUUAUAGUGGUUCUUAAGUUUUCAGUUCAGGAUUAUAUUGACUGGGUGGGCGGUUUGUGUAGGACGACGGAUGAUGAAGAUGAAGAUUAUUUUGCUGAGUUAAAACAAGUAUGUUGGUUAGAAGUAACAGGUUCAACCAACAGAGAUCUUGUGCCUGAAAAAACGUACAAAGUUUCUUUUGGUGUCUCACUAGGACCCGAUGCUUUUGGAUGGGAUGAUUGUAGCGUUUACAUAAUGGCUAAGAUUGGUAAAAAGGGAAAUUUCCGUUUCCAGAAAGUGAAUCUUGGAAUCAUAACUACUACAACUGAUCCAGAAAUUUCCUUGAUUCCUUUUACUGAAUUGACUGUUACAGUACCUACGCCCAGAACUAAUAAUAAUAAUGAUGAUCUCAAGCUCUACUUUGGUCUCUAUGAUGUUUGGACCAAUAGGUGGAAGGGAGGGUUGAGGAUCCAUUAUGCAUUGGUUGAAAUGGUCAUUGGUUCUAAUAAUGAUACUCAAACCAAUUAAACAGAAUAGUAGGUGACCACUCAUAUAUAUUUCAUGAUUAAUGGAAGGGCACAUGAUCUUUUGUACAUCAAACAUCCAUGAAUGUUCUUCAGAUUGUGUAAUCCAUAUGCAUGUAAUAAAAUUCAGUCAUAUGUGGCUGUUUCAUUUUUUAUUUGAAUUCUUAAAUUUAUGUUCUACCGUAAAUAAAUAAAAAAAAUUGAAUUCCUGUUAACUUUUCCAAUUUUGAAAAUGUAGCAAGUUUUUAAUUAACUUGAUAUUUUUUAUUUUAAACUUUUAAUUAUUUCAAAACUAUCCUUCUUCUCCACCGUUCUUCUCUUCGGUUUGUUUUUCAAUUACGUUUCUCCUCUUCCUCUGCUUUUUUCUUCUUUUAUUCCCCUCCUUCAUUCUUUAUCUUACAGGGAAAACAAUUUGUUUCUUCAACUACAUAUUUCUUUUUCCCCUUUUUUUAAAAUCCUAAUCAUUAUUUCAAACAAUUUGUUUUUCUUAACCGGUAGAUUACGAUUGGUGUCUAAAAUUGGUAGGGGAGAUUUGAUCGUCUUCUUCUCUCCUCCUUCUGCUGCCCCUCUUUCUACUGAUCCUCCAACUUCUUCUGCUCUUCCUCCUCCUCCUUCUCCAUCUUUUGUUGUGAAUCACUCGUAUUUAUUAUUUAUUGAAAUUAAAGCUACCAUUUAUUCUUCUCAAUCUUGAUCUUGAUUUUAGAAUAUCAAUUAUAUAUUAAUUGUAUUAUGAAAUAUAAUAGUUGUUGAUCGGAUUAACUUAACUUCUGUUUGUGAAUGUUCAUUACUUUGUUCGAUAUGUAUUUUGGAGUUGAAUCUAUUUUCAAAUGAUUUAGUUUUAUUUUCUUUUACAUUAUUAAUUAUGUUUUGGUUUUAAUUUGUAUCAGUUUUGUGUAUCAAUAUUGUGAUGUACUUAUAUUAUAUAUGUAUUAGUUAAGUUGGUUGAUAUACUUACUAUGAGAUUUUCAUUUUUGCAAAACUUUUGCACUACUUCAUUAUAGUUAUGGUUAAGUAUAUAAUAAAUUAUAUGUAUCAAGUGUAUGAAUUGUAUAAACUAGUAGUGCAAUUAUAUGAAUGAUAUAAUUUAGUGUAUCAAUCAAUAAUACAUUAGUAAAAUAUAUCAGUACAUUAGUAAAGUGAUCAUUAUCAAGUUUACAUGUAUAUAUCAAUAGUGUAUAAAUAGGACUUCAAGUGUAACAAACAAAUUACGUGUAUCAAUUGUAUCAAAUUCUUUUAGUUUACCAGUGAAGCAUAACAAGUUUAACAGCAGUGCAUCAAGUAUAACAAAAUUAACAUUUAAGCAUUUAAGUAUAUUAAAAAAAUCAAAUAUAUUAGUGAAACACAAUGUGAGGACAAGUUUGUAGCUUUCCAUUUUCAAAUAUAAUUUAGGUUGGGUUUGGGUUUUGACAUUUUUGCAAAACCAAAAGUUGUGUUAUAGGCCUAAUUGAUUGAACCUAUUAAUUAUUAUGUUAAAUGUGCAAGAAUUCCUAAAAAUCAUAGUGAAUGUAUUUUAAAUACAUCAACAAGUUAAGUUAUCAAACAUCAAACAAUAAACGUAUAAAUAUUUUAAAUACUCAAAUGUAUCAAACAUCAAUCAAUAAAUACUUGAAGUAACAUUCCAUGAGCAUUGACAAUAUAUGAAAGUAUCGACAAUUAUAUAUAACAAUAAUCAUCAUUUCAAAUACAUCAACAAUAUCUUACAGCAACUUACAACUUACAACUUAUAACUGACAACAUUCAAUCAAUAAUUUAUUUUGGAGUAAAAGUACAUGUGUUACAUUUUAAGGGUAUCGGGUGUGUUAUGUGAGACCCGUUUCUAAUUUGAGUAAGGAAGUAAAAUUCGGCCAAGUAUUAAGAAGUUGGUGUUUAAAUAAAUCUAUGUAAAGGAUUAAGCAUAAAAUCUUUACUGGUUAAGUAUACGUCUUUAUGAUUAAGUGGAUAGUUCACGAAAGAAGUUGUGUGAUAAGACGAGAAAAAGUCUUAACGUAAGUUAAGAAAUUGAAGUUUUGAGUGUUAGACUAGGAGUUUUGGGUGGUCUUCGCGAGAAGAACCAAGUGUUUCACGGAGAAGAAGUCUGCGAGGAAGCCUUGGUGUUUCAGUUUGCGAUAAAAGUUUUGUGCGAGUAAAAGUUGGUUAGGUCGUGUGGAAGAUUUCUUAUAGUAAAAAUAUAACCACGUGAUAAGGUUAUUCACAAGAAAUGUUAAGUGGUUAAAGUUAUUCGCGGUUUGGGUUUGGCAGGAAGCAAGGUUUGGCAAAGAAAAUGUCAAAUCUGAUUUGAUAGACGUUAAUGUGUAAGAUUAAGGAUUUAAGCAUGGCUAUGUUGAAUACUAAAUUUACACGUGUGAAGUUUUAAGCAAGAGCUGGCGAACCGAGAAGAGUUUAUGCUUGACUAAAUUAGUUUAAGGGCUAUAUAAAUAUGAGGAUUUGGGUAACUAAGGAGGGGAUUAUUAGAGUUUUGUUGAAAUGUUAAGUGUUCUUGGUUUAGCCAUGCGAGAAGAUGCUUGCGGAAAAGACUUUUUUAGUAAAGUUUGGUUAGUGCUUUUCUCUCAAAUGAAUUUAUGUUAAAAAAAAUUAUUAUGAUUUCUCUUUACUAAUUUAAAAGAAGAAUUCAAAUGAAAAUGUUUGAAAGAGAUUUCUAUGAAAAAUUAUGUUUUCAAUAAUUAUUUAUAGUGUUAAAGCUUGAUUUGAUGAUUAUGAUUUCAAUACUAUAUUUCUUUGAGAUGAUGCUAACUUUUAUGUGCACAUAAAGAAUCAAUGCCAUCAUAGGAUGUACGGUCUAUAUGGUGAUAAGAAGUUAGCUUAUGUAUUGAAAGGAGCAUAUAAAGCUUAGCGGUCUGAGCAACAAUGACGAAUUUGUAUGUUCUCAGAUGUUGUUGAUACAGUAGUCUAAACGCGAGGUAAUGAGACCAAACAUAGAAAACGAAUCGGGUUCCUUGGCAAAAUUAAAUGAUUUGUUAAGCAUAAAUAAAAGUUUAUGCGAAAUUAAAUGAUUUAUCGAUAUGUUUAAAUGAUUUGAUAUUAUUUCUACGAAAUGAUUAUGAAAAGGUAUUGCGAAAGGUUUUUAUAAAACCCCACUAAAUCUUUUAGACUUAUGUUUUAAAAUUUUAUCUUCCAGGAUCAGGUGUUUAGGCUAAGUAGAGAAGAAUGUUGAAGAAUUUGCGGUGAGGUGAUUCAACGCGUUUUAAAAAUGGUUAAGCAUUGGUUAUUUGGUCAAAAUAUUGUAAUAAUAAUGUAUGAUUAUCUAAAGAAGGAAGCUUGAGAAGUGUUGUCCCUAACUGUGGAAACAUAGUUUUUGACAUGGGCAGGGGUCAAUUGGUAUACUAAAAGAAUCUAACUAGGAACACUAAGAAAUGAUAUGUAAAAAAAAUAUAUCAAAGGGCUUGAGAUCAUGAUAUGUAAUAUUCUAUCAAACGCUCCAAAUUGAUUGGAAUCUGAAAUGAUUUAUUUUUAAAUUGAACACUUGAAGAUUGGUUUAAUAUUUCAGGUUUUGGAGGUAUGUCUGUGGCACUAAUUCUUGGUUGUAUUUUUCUUAUUUUUAUUUGUACUAGUUAGUCCUUUGAGCCGCUGCAAUGAUAUGCAUCCAAGUGAACUUUACUUUAAGGUGUGGGCAAUUGUGAACUCAUCAAUCUACCCCUCGUACUUAAAGCUCUAACAUUGAAAAUAAAACUAAUAACAGUUUAUGUUAUCAAUUGGAUCCUUCGUGGAUUGAGUAUUUAGAUCUUGGGUCUGUGAUAGAAUAGCAUAGGAUGUAAUUCUUAAUUUUUAGAGAUUGUUUCUUGUCUUUAAUUUUAUAUUUUACUUUUGCAUUUUUCAUAGCUUACAAACUAAUUUGAUUUUGGGAUUAUUUCUUAGCAAGAUCUGAAUUUUGGUAGUUUGGCAUGAUGCUGGCACUUACGAUGUGGUUACAAGACUGGUGGACCUAAUGGAUCGAUUAGAAUCAAAGAGGAGCUUUCUCAUGGUUCUAAUAAUGGACUGAAAAAAGCUAUUGAUUUUUGUGGUAUGUUUCUUUUUAUUCUUCCUUUAGUUUUUUCUUCUUUGCAUUGUGGAUCAUGCAAACUGAAAGUCAAUCUAAUAAUUGAGAUUAGAUGUCUACCUUUUUUGUUUAUGGGACUACAUAAGAUUAUCCUUUUCUAAUGUGUUUGAAUUUUUCUCUUUUGUUAAUCUUAAUGUGAGAAAUAUGUUUUUAUUGAAAUUGUUUUUGCGUAGUUGCACGUACUGUGAUUUUUUUUUAUUUCAACAUGAGAACUGAUAUCCCAAGAAACUUUAGAAUGAAAUAUGUAAAUAGUUGGUCGGCAGGACUUAGUUUCUUGUAAAUGCUAUGUUGGCUAAUUUACAACCCAGUUCUACCACCAACCUCCACUUUCAAUCCCUUCUCACACACAAUCUUUAGAACAACACCAUGCCUCUCACCGGCUUCAUCGGCUCCUCAUCGACUCCCAAGAUCGAUGAUAUGGGUAAUCCCUUUCUCAACCUCACCAUCAAUGGCUUCUUGAAGAUCAUAUCCGUAUGUGUUUCUUGUUUUAUAUAUUCUUGAUUUUUUUUGUGUGUUUAUUAUGACUAAAUUUGAAAUGGGUUUUGUUUUUUUGGUUCUUUUUAGGUCGUUGCUACUUAAGUGGCUGCUGAGGAUGCUUAUCAUGUUGUUAGAAAAGGUUUUGUUUUUCUCGCCUUUUCCUGCAAAAUUGGUUUCAAUUUUUUGCUUUCUUUAUUGAUUUUAUGGUGUUGCUUUUGAUUUUGUAGGAACGAUUUCUAUUCACAAAUUUGAAAAUAGGUUUAGUAUCUCUUGCUUCAGACUAAGUUAUGGAGUCUGCUAGUUUAUGGCUUUUGAAUGGUGAAAAUUUCAAUUCGAGAAUGUUUAUAAUUAGGAACGAGACUUUUAAUUAGUAGAUUAUAGUUAUCUCUAUUUUUCUAUUUGUUGGGGUAGUUUCUCUUUUGAAUUAUCUAACACCUAAGUUUAGAGUUUUACAUGAAUAGACCAAGAUUACAUCCAAAUUAGAUCAAUAUCAAAGUAAUGAAAGUAUGAUUAAGUAAGACUAAUAGUUCUUAAUUUUUUAUAUCUAAGUACUUUUUUUGCAUACUCUGGUUGUGAAUCACUCCAAAACCCAACAUCUAAUUAAAUUAUUGAUGGAACCAAGAAAUCAUGGUCACAACUCCACAACUUUAGUCCUUUAUCUUUUAGUUACUUAUUAUAGUUUUAUUGAGGGGAGACCAAAAUUUGAUGUCUUGAAUAAAUAUAAAACGAUUCUCAUUUCUUAUUCAUGGUAUACCAUUUCUUACUCAUGGUAUACGAUUCUCAUUUUUUAUAUCUAAGUACUUGUCUUGAAUAAGUACAUACUUCACCGUCUAGGAAUGGAAUAAGAAAAAGAGAAUUUGAGUUUCUCUUUCAAGGAUAUGAUUAUUUUCUUGUUUUUUCACUUUUAGGAUGUUUAGUUAAUUUCAAUUGACAGAGAAAGAUAGAAGGUGAAUUUCCUUUCUUAGUGCGGAAUUUAGACUAAACUCUUCCUUUACCUCUCCAUCUGGGCUGCUAUGUGUCUCAAGCUAACCUUUCUAUUUUGUGAUUAUACUAAGUAAUGGCAAGUAAAGGAGAUACUGGUUAAUUAGCUAGCUGAGCUUAUUUCAAUAGUUAUCAAUUAAGAAGUAUGGUUGUUGUUGAAAAAUUAGUCAUUUAACCGUAUGAAACUAUAUUUUCUUCCUAUUACUAUCUUAUGGCAUUUUGAAUAAUUGAUUGAAUUGAGGAUUAGUAGAAAGUUCUAGCUCUUACUUCAAGGACGUUGUCGUUAUUUGUUCAAGUAAGUAGUUUCUACCUCCCUACCAAAAUACAUAUUCAACUAUUGUGGUUUAAAAUAUAAUUUGUAUCAUUCUAGUCUUGUUGAAAGUGUUUUAGUCUAAUUAGUAUGGUAUAUUAGUAAUAUAUCAGCGUUUGCUUGAAUUAAUAUCAUCUAAAAUCUCCAUAGUAGUUUUUUCCUUACUCUUAAAGAUCUUGUAGAAUUUCGAUUUGGGUAUGGAUCCACAAAGAAAAGUUUUAGUGUGUGAUUUAUGAAAAAAUAGAGAUUUAUGAAAGUUAAAAUUAGCUAAAAAGUCAUACUAGUUCUUUAUCUUUCUCAUAAUAUUUCAUUGGAAACUGACUUUGCAGGUAUAACUGAUGUUUAUCUUUUCAGUCUGAUUGAUGAAAAUGCUAAAAGUAUAGAACCAGAGAGCCUUGAAAGGCAUUGGAGAAUAUCUUUUUAGUUUGAUUGAUAAAAAUGCUAAAAGUAUAAUUAAUGUCUAUCUAUGCUUGUGGUUUAUUAAUUUUCUUUCUUCACUACUAAUUGAAAACAUAAUUUUGUUACAUAACUUAGGUUUAGUUGAGAGGGCUUAAUAUGAAGCUGGUGGGUGGGUACUUGUCGAAAGGAGAAUUAAAGGUAUUGUUCUAAGGUUUUCUUGUCUCUCUUUUUCAUUUUCUUUCAUUUUUAGCUUUCUAGUCAAUCAAUGAGUUUCUAUUCAUAAGGGUUAAUUCUAUGCUUUUAGAUUAUGUAUAGAUAUUGUGUUGCUAAAAGCUGAGAUUGUCGAGCUACUUUUAGCCAUUGUAGUUGUCAAUCUAGUUGGAACAAAGGAUUUGGAUAUUGAUCUUCAAAACUCAUUUCACUUCAGGUUUUUUAUGGUUUAUUUGUCAUGAGAUGAUUGGUGUUCUAUUCUUCAAUGUUUCUAUGUUUUAGGCUUAAUCAUGCUCUAAGGUCAGCUAUCAAUAUUAUACAAACUUCACAUAUGGAUCUUCUUGCAAUCAAAUAACUGCCGAAGGCAAUUCUUUGCUUGCGUCCUUGAGGUUUUAUUUUGUCAAUAUUGUGUGGUUCAUAUGGAUUGAGGAUUGGAAAUGUAGGUUUUAGCAUUGUGCUGUUUAAUUGGUGUUUUUAUUAUAAUUGAGAUAGGGUUGGUGUUGUGUAUGAAAAAGAACUGGAAAUAUAAGUGUGAGCUAGGGCUUGUGAAGGUUCACACUUUUUAACAUUCUAUUUGGUUUAUACUUACUUUAUUAGUGUCUUAGAAGUUGGUAUCUUUAUUUUUUAUUCUGGCAUGGAUGAGCCCUAGUUUGGAUCUUAGUUUGAAUUAGCUCAUAAAAUAGUGCCAUGUAUUGAGUAGUGCUAGUUAGGCUUAGACAAAAAAAAUGGUAUAAAACACUGUUUCAUCCUUCUUGACUUCAUGUAGCAAUGGUUAUUUUGCAUGUUUGGUUUUUUCAGUAUUGCGGUCUUCCAAAAUAUGGACAGCUUGGUCAUACACAUGGGAUAAUGUUGGACACUUCAUUCUAGUAACAAGCUAUAGGCCUAAAUUGCCGCAAGCUAGCUAUGCAUAUUGGUAUGUUGAUACAAGUAUGUUUUGACACGAACCCCUUCAGUUGGCCCAAUCAUAUGCAUUCCACAAAUUGGUAUAUAGUCUCAUUCAUUGCUUGUUAGGAAAAGCUAUUCCUUGAUUAUCGUAGUUACGCAAAACUCUGAUUGGGGUGGAAUUUGACUGACUGCAUUUCAGGCUUUUUUUUUGUUCAUUAACUUGAGUACUUGUUGUAAUCUUACUCUCUGUUUUAAUAAUUUGAGAGAAUUGGUGCAUGAUUAUUCAUAAUUCAUCUUUAUUUGCGAUGACUGCCUAAUAUAAACUGUUGAACUUUAAGGACUAGAAAUUGUAUUAGGUAUAUUGUCUUAGCUUUUUUAUUGUAAGGACUAGGAAUAAGGAUAUAUUUGUGAUUUGUCAUUAUUCAAUUUUAGUGGUUAUAUAUGCUAAAACAAACUUUUUGGAAAUUAAUAUAGCAAGUAGGUUUUGCUGCUAGUAGGAGGUAGGAGAAUUGUUGUGUGUCCUAAAAGACUAAACUGAUGGCUUAUAAUUUUAACUUCAAUGGCCCCUUCUUAGUUAAUGUCGUUCAUAUUAGAGGAUUAGGAGUAAUAGAUACCUUUUUUUCUUAUCAUGGAUAGUAUGCUUGUACCGAUUGACUAUUGCUAAAUUGUUACUUGUGUAAAUUGCCACGGGUGUUAUGUAUGUACUUAUUGCUAUUGCUACUUGUGUAAAUUGUCAUGAGUUUUAUGUAUGUACUCAUUGGUAGAGCUUUUUUUGGAUAAGAAACUAUGAGACCUUUAAUUUAUGUUAAAGCCAUAAAUGAUCAAAGUUGUUCCAAUUCCAUUUUCCUAGUACCUUAAUAUUUCUUGGCUUCGUUAACUGAAGUGGAUUGCACAUAAAACUGUCUUCUUUCUAAUAUUUGUAAAUUUGAAAGUGUUUGACUCCUUAAGAUGGAAACUUUUCGGUUCUUGUUGGAUAACGUUUUUUCCAACCUUAUUGACAGUGAACUACUAAUGGAUUCUUAAGUUUCAUUCAUCUCUAUUAUUACUUAUGAUUACUUAUUCAAUAAUUUCCUUGUAGAUUACUUAUUUAUAUCCACCUAAAUUUUCUAAAGAGUAAUGAUACAAGAGUUGUAAUUUGUAAAAAGUUCCAAUAUUGUAGACCAAGUGGAUGUUAAGGUGACACUGUUAUUCUACAUUUGUGUUCUGCUACGUAGUUGUUUCUCUUAUCGACGCAUGUAGUGAUAGGUAAUGUUCAAUGUUGAAACUUUCUAUAAGAGUUGUACUCUCUUGUCUUGUGAAGGAUGUUUAUAUUCAUGUUGUCUUUGUAGGUUCAACUGGAGUCGACAACUUCAUGAGUUUACUUUCAAUGAACAUUUUCAGAGACGAAAAUUCUCGGUUGGUCGUUUAUGCUUCUGUAGAAAAUCUUGUUAUAUGUAUUCCGAUGCUAUUUCAAAUAUUUUUUGAUUAAGGCCUGGUAUUCCGUACUUGUAAAUUGUUGGAACUUGAUUGGAAAUGUAUGAAUAUUAUAAAUUGUAUUAUAGCGUAUAUAUAUUAAAGUGUCGGCUAUUUUUUUCUAUAUGCGUGUCAAUAUUAUAAAUUCAAAGUUGUCAUUGUCGGCUACAUUAUUGUCAUUCAAAUGGUUCGUGUAAUGGCAGAACAACAAGGAGAACAGGAAAAAAACUGUAGUAAUUGAGUAAUUUGCAACAGGAAAUAAAUGUCGUAAUAUAUGAAUUUGUGACAAUCAUUAAUUGUUGUUAAUACGAAACCAAUGACAAUUUUUUUACAAAAUUAAUUGUCACAAUUGCCCAUUGGAAAAAAAUGUCAUCAAUAACAAAACAAUGACAAUUUAAAAAAAAAAACUGUCGCGAUUGACAUAUCCGUGACAUAUAAAAAAUGUCACAAUAAACGAAUUCGCGACAUUUAUUUAACUGUCGUUAAUAUACAAAUGAUGAUAGUUAUUUAUUGUCAUAAAAUAAAAUAUGAUAGUUAUUUGAUGUCAUAGAAUCCUAAUUAACGAUAUUUAUUUUAUGUCAUGAAAUAAGUUAUUGCGACAAUUUUUGAAAAUUGUCAUGGAAGAACUUUUCAUGACUCCCGCUUCUAUGACUGAAAAUAACUGUCACAGAUUUUGUUCGUGACAGUAAAUAACUCUCGUCGUAGACCAUUUUUCUUGUAGUGUUUAGACAUGUAAAUAUUAAAGUUCUUUGCUUAACUUAGGCUAUGCAUGUUGUUUAAUUUGAACCUUCACAUUAAAAUGAGACUUUUUCAUUUUAAUGUAUUUUUCUCAGGUUUAUGCAGUUUUCUGGAGCGGGAAAUAAAUACUUUCUGAGUUAAUUAACCAUUUUUUGUGUAUGUAAUAUUUUUUUUUUUUUGUUUAUUUUGGUAUGUCAAAAUAAAAUUUAAUACAGUUCAUGAACCUUUGGUACACUAAAGAAUUAUUGUUUGUCAUAUUUUGAUAAGUAUAUUAAAUUAUGGAUUGUCAUAUUUUGACAAAAUAUUAAUGGUUGAAAAUAUUUUCUUUUUUAAUUUUUUGUUUGCACUAUUCAAUAUAUUUUGUUAUAGGCAAGAAAUUCAUUCUAUAAUUGAAAUUUUAUUUAGAAGCAUACAAAAUGAAAUUUAAUAUAGUUCAUGAACCUUAUAAGGUGUUUUGCAAGAUAAAGGACUAGGCGAGAAGAAGUAAGAAAACUUCACGGAAAUUUUCUAGGCAUGUUUAAUGGACCACGUGUAAAGUUUAAGUUAAGCAUGAUUAAGUUAAAUUUUAAGCUUACACGUGCACCACCACUACGUCGUUAGGACUGUUGUUAAAUCUACGUCGCUAAAAGUUUUAGCAAUGCAACAACUACGAGCCGCAAAAGAUAUACUUUUAGUAACAUAUGUUAUGUCACUAUUUAUCUUUUAUAGUGAUGUAUUGCACUUGCCACUAAACAUGAUGUUUUAGUGACAAAUAAUGUUGUUACUUAAGGUUAAUUUGAGACCGUUACAAACAUCUUUUGCGACGUAUUGAAGUGCACCACUAAAAUUUCCUAUAAUUUAUUUUUUAAAAAAACCAAUGCUUUUAAAAGUAUUUUAUUAUAUAAAAAAUAAUAUACAAUUUAUUAUAUUUUAAAAUGUUAAAUAUAAUUAUAUUGCAUCUGUUUUGUAGUCCAACAAUGAUGUACAACAUAAUCAACUCAAACAACACAUAUGCAAGAAUUUAAGCUUUCCAUCAAUUGAACUAUUUAUGUUUCUUGAAUAAUCAACCCAAACUUUCAAUCAAAGAACUAACAAAAUGCAUAUAUAUCCUUGAACAUACAUACAGUUGGUCAUUACAAUUCUAGUUUAAGAUAAACACAAACUUAAUUAAAAAAGCUUGAAACUCAAUCACCUUAUCGUAUGAACUUGGCUUCAAAUAUAAAUUUGGAUUCCACGACCUAAACCAAAAUAGAACAAUGUCAAGUUAAAAAAAUAAGCAAUCCAAUAAAGCAAUCUUAGAAAAAUUAAGCAUUUGUCUGGUAGCAUACUAAAUCACUAGCAGACCCAUUAAAUCAUAAUUAAUAAAUGAAGAAACAAGGGAGAAAGUUACCUCAUUUAAAAUAACUAUAAGAUAACUCCAAACUCAAAGUCUCACUGAUUGUUAUCUUCAACUCUUUAAAAUCUACAAACAAAAUGAGAAUAGCAUUAAUAAUAAAAACUUUAACUUUUAAGUAUAAGAAUCAUGUCCUUGAAAUAGAAACUUGAAGUCUCUUUUUCUUCUUUCAUUCCUAGACGAUGAAGUAUGGUGAAAAACUAACUUGGUUUUAGUUAAUUCAAAUCCAUACACUGAAGAGAUGAAUUACUGAAGUUGGCUCUAUCAUAAUGAAAGCAUGAAAUAUGUAAAAAAUGAAGGAAAUUCAAGUAUUGCAAAAAAACUAUUCCACAUUUUGUACGUGCAACAAAAUAACGAGAUAAUGUUAUAACUUACCAAUGUUAAUUUACCUUUUUUAUUUCAACCAACCAUGCAAUGAACUUUGGUCGCUUGUUCCUAAAAAACAAAGUUACUAAGAUCAAAUUGAAGAAACCAAAAAGCAGUAUAAAAACUCUUCCACAGUAUAACAAAAAUCAAGAUCAAAAUGUGCAUUUUCAUGUGCAUUUUCACAUUAGCGUUGAUUAAACCUGACUAUCUUUCUAUCACGUUGGACACGUUUGUAAGUUUCCAUAAUAAGAUUACCCUUCCAAACAUUUAUGGGAAAAUCAUACUUACUCAAAUCUCCAAUUACAUAAAAAUAGAGAACAAAAGACAAUGCAACUGCAAUAAAUUUGCAAUGCCCAAUUAAAGAAACAUAAAACAGACAAAAAUACAAAACUCUCUAGCUUUUACGGUGUUGACAUGUGGGGUAAAUCCAACUCCUGCUGACUCUACAAUUACAAUCAUAAAAUCGUUAACUCUAGUGCAAUACCAAAGUUGAAACUGAGCUUCAAGAAUUAAGACUCUAAAAAUGGCAUGCAUGUAAAGAAGACCCAAUUUUAAGGACUUUUGUAACAUAAAGUAAAACAAUUACAAGGGUAGAGAUAUGCAUUGAAUGAAUCUUAAAAUUUUAUUUUCUCGCAAUCGAUGACGAGGGAAAAAGGGACUUUAAUAACUAAAUUUAGGUAGAAAGUAUCCAUAGUUUAUUAAUGCCAAUAAACAAAGAAGCCACAUAAUGGAGAUUGGCACCAAGCAAUUAUUUUAGAUAUAAAAAACCAGAAUAAACUAAUUGCCUCUUCUAUUUUAUCAAGUACUCGACUGAGGGGCGACCAUUGGUGAAGGAAAAAAACCUCCACUGGACUAAGUUGCUGAUAUGAUCGAAUAACAGUCAAUAAAAUUCAUAAAAAGCUACUGAGAAUUAGACUAAAGAAGCUUACUAAAUUCAUAAAAAUGCAAAAAUUGUCAUCUGCACCAAAGGGGCGAAGAAAACUAAACAAAUUAUAAUAAAUUGCUACACAAAUAAAAUGCAAAUAAUAAAGGGGACUUUUGGGAUUAGCAUUUAGAAUGAGAACUUUGGGAUUUUAUCCCUCUUGCUCUAAGGUACAGCAUAUAACAUACAGAGUUGUUUUGCUUGAGUAAUGUUGUUCUACAUCUCUUCCUUCGGAAUAAAGGACAAUGCGUAAGCUAACCGUAUUUUGUUUAUUUGGUUCUAAUUUUUUGUGUUUUACUUUGUUUGAUAAAUUCUUGUCAACUGAUUGUUUAAUAAUGAUUGAGAAACAUUUUACCCAAUUUCGGUGAUUUGGAAGCAAAGUAAACCCCAAUGAAAAAGAUGCAGCUUUUCACUAUUUUGUAUUUUAAUAGUUUUCUACAUCACUAUAAUGAAUAAUCUAAAGAACUUAAAGAGACCAGACUAGUUUAGUGGAUUCUUUUGUAGUAGCAUAGUGAAAAGCAAUGAGAAAUCAGCCACACACACCCUAAAGAAGGAAAAAAAAAAAAACUAGCUAAAUUGAUUGAAUAAGUUUCAUUUUUCAAUCUCAUUAACUUUACAUUGUAAUGUUGGUCUUUAUGGUUUAAAGAAAUAAUUUAAUCUCUUAUGAUCUAUAAUUUUUAUCCCAAAUGGUAGGAUCAUUGAAACUGAACUCAAAAACUCUCUCAAAAUAAUUAAAAAAAAAAUGAAUAACUCACAUUGAAGGGAUGAAGGAAUACCGCGUACCUUUCUCUUCAAGUCACCGUCAGUUGUGGUUCAUUGUCAAUAAGAAUACGUCAAGGAGUUGGCCAGGCGAAACAUGACGAAACACUAGCUUGUUGUGGGUAGUCGCCGACCGAAAUGUGACCGACCGAUGAGAUGGAGAGGGUUGGAGGGUUGGGAAUUUGGGAUUUAGGGAUUUUGUGUUUUUUGUCGUGGAAGAGGAAGAGAAAUUAAGGAUUUGAUAAAUAUAUAUAUAUAUAACAAAUUAUUAGAUGAAAAUUUGGAUGAAAAUUAAAAGAGAAAUUUUACAACAGUUAUUUGUUACUAAAACUAUUUAACUUUUAGUGACAUUAUUUCGUGUGUUGCUAAUUCGUUUAGUGACGUGGAUUGAAAAUAUGUUGCUAAUAACCAUAUUUCAUGGCAAAAAAAUUUAGCAUUGAUAAAAAUGAUCAUUUAGUGACAAAAAUUACUUACACCACUAAAACUUUGUCACUGAAUAAUAAAUUUCAGUGCACUAGAAGUAGAAGCUGACAAGCUGAUAAGAGAUUAAAGGUGACUAAGCUUGUUUAUGAAGUAGUAUAAAUAGAGGAUGAGAUCAUAAUGUUAAAGAGGGAUUAUUUUUAGAAUUUGAAAAGAAAAGUUUAAGUGUUGAGGUGGUGCGAAUUUGUCUAUGCAAGAAGAAGAAUAGGAGAAGCCUUUGAAGUUUAUUUUCCAAGUGUUGUGAGUGUCUUAUUCUUUGAAAUGUUUAUGUUAAAAUUUUUCUUAUAAGUUCUUUUUUAUUUAAGUUAAUGAUUUCUAAAGAGAGAUUUAUAUGAAAAACUUGUGCAAUGUUUCAAGUAUGUUUAUUGAGAUUGUGAAUGUUUAUGAAUGAAUUAUCAAACCACUAGUUAUCUUCUUACUAAUGAGCUAACUGUUAUAUGCACAUAAGGCUAAAGACAGUCAUGUAGAAAAGGACUGCAUGGUGGAAUGAAGCUGACCAAUAUAGAAAAUGAUUGCAUUGUAUAUUUAGCGGCAUGAGCAACAAGAACGAAUCAUAAUACUCUUUGAUGUUGAUGAUGAAAAGGACAUCUCAGUAGUCUAAAUGCAAGAUGAUGAGUCUUUACGUAGAGAAUGAUUUGAAAUUAUUGACGAAAGGAAUGUUUGUGACUAAUGUGUGUUUAUGUGCUUGUUAUAUUUUGCGAGAUGAAGCAUUUACGCGAAAUGACAAGUUUAUGAGCAAAAAAUGUUUGAUGUAAAAUUUGACAAAAUAAAGUUUAAUUUACAAAUUUUGCAAAAAAAAAAAAUCUUAAAACCUCACUAAGUCUUUUAGACUUGUUUUAAAAUUUUACCUUCCACGUUCAAGGCGCUAAGGCCAAGUAGGGGAAAGUUAAAAAGGACUUGCUAGGCGAGAAGAGGCUGCCAAGGUGUUUUACCUCUUUAAGUUUAAGAGUUGUGUAUUUGUAUUGUAGUAAAGUUAUUGUAAAAUGCUUAGCCAAAAGUUCAAUAAAGUUUUCGUUUGGUUACUUCUCUGUUUUAAGUGUUUUCUGUUAUCACCUCAAAAUACUUGUAAAGUUGUAAGUUAAGACAAAGGAAAGUCUUUGGGCGAUUAAGCAAAGCUUAAGGACCUCAAGAUUGAAGGUUUUAGCAUUUAACACAUAAAGAUACUCAAGUCACGUCACAUCUCGUAUGGCAAGCUAGGGUGUCAGCGGGGGCAGUGACAACUUGUAGAAGUACAAGUUAUUGUGUACCCUUUUGAGUAAAAUAAUGAGAUCUUAUUGCAUGGAAACAAAAGAAAAUAGAGAAAAAAGUUAACAAUUUGGUUAUAUUUCCAAUAGCAUAAUACAGAAGAACCUUAUCCACAAUUCACUAGCAUUUAGUGCUGUUGGCACAUGCUUUUAGGCAAAAAGAGAGUGAAGCUUGACAAAAAUAUGUCUAUGCGAGAAGUUCAAUCCAACCUUUGCGAAAAUAGAAGUACAAGCUAUGCGAUUAAGGCAAUUGCAGACAAAAUUAGUUGGCAGGAAAUUUAGAGAAAGGACAAAAGGAUAUGCACAAUGUCGAUUGCAGCUUUUCAGAGGUUUUAAUGGCGCGUGGCAGCCUGUCAACAUCAGUUCUUGAAUAUAAAUAGAGUGUCUCACUUCUCAAUCGGUGUGCAAUUUUGGCUGGGAAAAACAAAAUGCUCCCUCCACCCAUCCAUCUCCCUUCCCUUCAGUUUUAGAUAAAAGCCUACAGCAAAGAGGAGAGAGAGAUCCAUCUCUUCCAUUGUUUUCCUCAGACAUAGGCAAAAAUCAGAGCUAAAGAGUAUGAGAGAUCAAACUCUGUGGCGUAACUCAUGAUUUAUUUUUCCAUCUUGUAAUUUUUAUAUUCUAUUGUUUUGUAAUCUAAACCUCAUGGUUAAAAAGCUUAACAUAUUGUUUAUGAAAGCAAUGAAUUUCUUCUUCCAUUCUCCCAUAUUUCUUGUCUUUCCAUGUCUACAUAGUUGGUUGGUUGAAUUAUAAUAAUUGAUGUUCGUGAUACUCGGAUAAUCAUAAUGAAUGUUGUAAGAGUUAUGCAAAGCUAAGUGUGAGUAUCUCAACCUUUUUCAUUCAAAAGAAGGACUUGAGUAGAGAUCGUAAUCACUAAACAAGUGAAAAUCCCUUUUAGCUGAGCAGGUGGUGGGAAGAAUGUCGUCAUGCAUUCUUGUCGUCAAGUUCAUCCUUUGCAUACAUCACUGAAAGGUUGCUGUGUGUGUCGAAAGCCCUAAAAUGUGUACGACCUAAAUAAGGAUUAACUACUGUUUUGUAUGUGAGAUUAUUAUAUAUAAAUCAUAGCUUAACUAUAAAUAUUUUCAUCCCGAGAGGCGAGCAAGUAUGAUAGAAGCGCUGAGAAUGUGCUUGCCUUAAUUCUUGGUUAAUACAUGCUUUAUGUCACUUCAAAGUAUUAAAACAUUAACCAUUGCCUUUAGUUAAUUCAACUUUCCUUCCUUGCCAUGCCUACACUAAGUUCAUAUCUCAUUAUGCUAUACUUCCAUGUUCACCUUGCACCGCCAAGUACAGUAGUGUAAAUAUCUAAGAUCAAUAUUAUAUUGUUAAUAUCUUUAUUGUACAGUGUAUACCGCAUCAUUUAGUAUGGGGUUAGAUAAAAUAGGAGCUUAAAUUCCCUAUGAUCAACUCUAGACUUACUAGAAAACUUCUCUUCACUUGAACUUGGGCGAUAGAGGAGAAAACUUGUGUGACAAUGUUUGAUUCUUAUAAUAACAACGCAUUAAUAAGAAUGCACCUUUUUUUAUCGUAUAACCUUGUUUAGAUGCAUAAUGGUUAUAAACUUAGAACUACUCUUGUUAAACAUACAAGCUUGACACUUGAGAAAUUAGAACGCAUGAAUAAAAAUUUUAUGACGACUAAGUUUCCGGCGCUAUUGCCGGGGAAUUUUUAAAGAUCUUUCUAUUAUUUAAUUGUGCGCUAAAUUAUGCAUAAGUUCAAUCUCAGUUGAAUCGCGUGCUCUAACCAAAAAGUUCAUGAACAAGUUUAUGAGUGCAGGCGAACAACCUGAAUUCCAGCUUGACCCUAAGAUCGAAUGAACAUUUUGGAGGAAUCAUAGACAAAGGCAGAAGGCAACACCAAGCGAACAUGGACAAUCAGAACAACAAUAUCUCUCCCAACCAGAACGCCCAAAACCAAAAUCUAGCCUACUUAGCUCAUAAUUUGGAUUGACCCAUUAGAUCAUGCACACCGUUGAGCCUCUAUAAUUUCAACCCGGGUAUUGCAAGUGUAGUAUUUGGAGACAACUCAAGGUUCAAAAUCAAGCUAGUAAUGCUUCAAAUGAUCUAGAAUGUUGGACAGUUUGGAGAGCACACACAUGAAGACCCUCAUGAGCAUAUAAGGAACUUCUAAUCUAUUUAUAUGUCGUUUAAUAUGCCAGAAAUAUCACGAGAUGAACUAUGUUUACCAUUUUUUCCACUCACAUUGCACGACGAGGCUAAACAAUGGGCCAAGUCUUUGGAAGAAGAGGAAGUUACAAUAUGGGAUAACUUGAUUGAAAAUUUUAUGUAGAAGUUCUUCUCGUCCAUUGAGAACGCAAGAAGUAGGCAAGAUUUGAUGACCUUUGAACAGAGAGAUAGUGAGAACCUUAUUGACGUGUGGGGAAGAUUCAAGAGAAUGAUCAAGGGAUGCCCUCACCAUUGCAUCACUGGAUGUGUUCUGAUGGAACAAUUUUACUUUGGGCUUAGUAGAGACAUACAACAAUCUGUUGACAUUGUGUUCAUUGGUGGGAUGCUCAGAUCAUCCUAUAAUCAAAUCAAAACAACGUUGGAUGAUAUGACCAGCAACAUUCAAGAAUGGAGAGAUGACAGCUUCGAAUUGUGAAAUGAUAGUAAAGGAAGUAGAAGAGACAAAGGAAGUCAACUUUCAGAAGAGCAGGUGGGCGGGAAGAAUUUAAUCGUGCAUUCCUUUCGCCAAGUUCAUCCUUUGCAUAUACAUCUUUGAAAGGUUGGUGUGUUUGUCGAAAGCACUGAAACAUAUACGGUCUAAGUAAAGAUUAGCUACUUUUAUUGUAUGUGAGAUUAUUGGAUAUAAAUCUUAGCUUAACUAGGAGUAUUUGCAUCCCGAGGGGCGAGAAAGAAUGAUAGAAGCGCUGAGAAGCUGCUCGCUUUAAUUCUUGGUUAAUACAUGCUUUAUGUCACCUCAAAGUAUUAAAACAUUAAUCACUACCUUUAGUUAAUUCAAUUUUCCUUCCUCAUCAUGCCUACACUGAGUUCAUAUCUCAUUAUGUCAUACUCCCAUGUUCACCUUGCACUGCCAAGCACAAUAGUGUAAAUAUCUAGGAUCAAUAUUAUGUUGUUAAUAUCUUUACUAUAUAGUGUAUUAACGCAUCAUUUAGUAUGCGAUUCGAUAAAAUAAAAGUUUAAAUUCUUUGUGUUUGACCUUGAACUUACUAGAAAACUUCUCUUCGCUUGCACUUGGGCAACAGAGGAGAAAACUCGUGCGACAAUGUUUGAUUCUCAUGAUAGCAACGCAUGAAUAUAAAUGCACCUUUAAUUUUAUUGCAUAACCCUUUUUUAGUUGCAUAAUAGUCGUAAACUUAGAACUACUUUUGUUAAACAUACGAGCUUAACUCUUGAGAAAUUAGAACGCAUGAAUAAAAAUUUCAUGACGAUCAGGCGUGGUGUGACAACUUAGUAUCAUAGCGUGAUUUUGGGAAAUCUAGUAGUUUUAUGUGUGAUUUUGGUGGUUAAGUGCUUAAGUUACUUUUGUAGGAAUUAGUAGAAGUAGAAAUGUCGACAAGAAAAGGAAGGGACGCAAGAAGUGGAUCAAGAGCAACAAUUGAGCCUACAAUGGAUUCAGAAGCACAUUCGGUUAACCCUGAUGCGAGAAGAAAGCAAGAGGAAGCAGUUUAUGAUAAGAGUUUCCUAAAUAUUAAUAGAUGUCAUGGCACAACAACUAGAGAAGAAAUUUGGAAUAGAGAGAUUCAAGACAUUAGGAGCUACAAAAUUUAGUGAAACUACAAAGUCAAAAGAAGCUAAAAAGGACAUUAAAGAAGUUAGGAAAGUAGAUUUGGUUGUGUUUUUAUUACAAGAAGAGGUUGAAGAUUGGUAGACCCUAGAAGAGAAUGGGCGAGGAAGAGUUAACUAUGAAAAUUUGAAAGAAAUAUUCAUUGGAAAGUAUUUUUUCGAAACCUAUAGAGACGAGAAGAGAGAUGGAUUUCUCAAUUUGGAAGAAGGAGAACUCUCUAUCACACGACACGAGAAGAAGUUUACAGAGUUAUCUAAAUAUGCAAGAUGAAAUUCACUCUUUCCUUACUUUAGGGUAAGUAAGUGAAUGUUCUCUUAAAUGGUGUCUCCGAGACUUGAGCAAAUGGUCCUACCCUCUCAAUGGCACAAGAGGGGUUUAUAGUUAUUUAGUGGUUGAACCAUAAAUAGGUUGUUCACUAGAUGAACAUUGAUAUUUAAGGACUAGAAGUAACUCAGGGGUAAAAUGAAAAUUGACCCAACUGAUUUACGAACACUUGGGAAGGACUAACUACUAUAGGUCUAUAUCUGUGGACAAAGAAAUAUAUCUAUAGUGAAAAAAGUUUAGUUGUGAGUCUUUAGCCAAUUAAUCUCAUAUCGUUAUAACAUCUUAUCUAAAGGUCUAUUAGACUCUCUUUCUAGCUCGUAAAGGGUAAUGAAAUUUAUUUAUAUUAGUAAUUUGAAAUUUUCAAAUUUACUUUGGGAAUUAGUAUAAUGUACGGUGAUACAUUAUAAUAUAAAGUUCAUAUUUUAAUCAAACUUUAUUAUUAAAUUUAAUUUUGGAUAUAAUUCAAAAUUAAUUUAUGAGAGAUAAAAUAUUUGGAUGAGCUCAAAUAUUAAUUUGAUUUGAAUUGGAUUCGUAUUAAAAUUAUUGGUUAUGAGAGAAAUUUAUAUUGUAAUAUGAUUCAAAUUUAAUUUAAUUUUAAGAUAUUUAAUUUAACUAUUAAUUAAUAGUUUCAUUUAAUUUUAUUUGAUUUAAUUAAAUUAAUUUAAAACUCUAAGAUAUUAGAGGCACAUGAAAUUAAAAAGGAUUAAAAUGAAAUAUUAAUUAAAUCAUAUUUAAUUAAUUAUUAAUUAUUUAAUAUUAAUUAUUUAAUUAGUAGAUUUAAAAAUAAAUUAAUUAGAAUGAGAUUUAAAGGGGUACAACCAUUAUACCAAAUACAAAAUAUAAAUAUAAAGUAGUAUCAUUUAAUAUUUAUUAUAAUUUAACAGUUUAAAAUUAAUAUUAAAAUACAAAAAUCGAGAAUGUGAUACAGACACAUGUCCUUUAGUCCUUUAAUAGAUCUGCCCACAACAGUGGACAAAACUAGAAGAUGGAGAGUUUUGCCGGAGUGAAAUGAAAACACAUGGAAAAAAAAAAGGAAAGAAUCUCUUUUUUGAAUUUGAGAAUAAAUUUACGAUUUAAAGAAACAUUAAAUGUGAUAUAACUUAAUUAGCAACACAAUAAAUUUUAUUUAUUAUUUUAUCUAUUCGCAAUAUCAAUGAAAUGAGUGAGAUGUACCCUAUUUUAUAAAACCUAAAUGUAUAGUAAAAAACUAAACGUGAAAAUUCAUUAUACUUGAAUUAAGUAAAAAUAGUUUUUUUUUUUAAACAAUUUCUCUAAUAAAAAAAAUAAGAAGAAGAAGAACAAUAAAUAAAAAAAUGUAAAGAAUAAAGAAAUAAAAUGUAAAAUGUAAAGAAUAAAGAAACAAAAUGUAUUAGAUUCCUAUAUAUCCGUGAGUCAAUUUUCUUUGAUCAAAUUCCCUAGAAACAUUUUACUGUCGGUCAUUUAAAUUCGUAAAAAUCUAAACCUAAAGAGCAAUUUAUUUCCUUAGCAAUUGUUUGAUCACAAACAAAACAAAUUUUGUGAUUAUUAUAUAUGUGGAGAUGACCUGUUAAUUCCUACCACCUCCAAGCUCCUAAAAUUGAAAAAAAAUAAACAAUAUUUCAUAAAGAAACUGAAACAUAAGAUUACAUGCAAACAUUUUGAACAAUUUAUCUUAAACCCAUCUUCUUAAAUUUAUAAGCAUAAUAUCAUACGAAGAGAAGAACUCAAAAGGCCUUUAACAUUUCAUCCCGUCCUCUAGUUUUGAAGAAUAUGGGUUUGGUUUUUAAGUUAAGUCAAAUUUAUAAUUUCUAGUUUUGUUUUCAAACGUAUCUAGUUAGUCUCAAGUUUUUAAAAUUAAGUUCACGAACUCUCUUGAAUAAUUUCAUACUUUUAUUUUAAGUAAUUAUAUAUGGAUAUAAUUUUAUAAGAGAAAUUUUCAAAAAUAACAAAUUUUACAAAGUAUUUACAAUUUAUAACAAAUUCUAUAUAGUAUUGAUAGGUUAUAAUGAUAAUAUAAUCUAAAAUUUUGCUAUAGCUUGUAAUUAUUUUUAUUUAUUUUAUUAUUUUAAAAAGUCAUACAAAAAAUACUUCAACACCUUUUAAACCUAUUUGAUCAAAUAGAUCUAUUUUUCUUAAUUUGAAAACUAAAAAAAUACAUUUUUAAAACGGGGAAUAAAACCGUGUACUGUUUUAUGGAUGAAAAAGUAUUUUUUUUUUCUUUUUCCUUUUUUAUUUCCAUCCAAAUCAAUUCCAACUAAAUAUUGAAUUAAUACAACACUCCAGAUAUGGAUGGAAUUGUGAGAUAUUUGAGUAUCCACAUUGGAAAAAGACACAAUUUUAUUAUUCCUUACAAGUCUUUUUAUUAUUCGUUUUUUUGGUCCAAAAGUUGACUCCACCUUAAUUCUUUUCUAUUGUGAAAUUGAUCUUCUUUAAGAAGUAUAUGUUGUGUACAUCUACUGUUUGUGAGAAUUUGAGAAAAGCAUAUUAAAAUAAAAUGUAGCAAAUUCUUAGUCUUAAUUAAUCAAAUGUAUUGUUUAGAAAAAUUAUUGAUUCAUGGCUAACACUUCUUAGAUAUUAAUAAUUAAAUGUAUAAGAACAUUUUUAAAAAUUUGUAAAUAUAAAAAAAUUUAUUGAUAAAUAAAUUCUAUCAUUAAUAGAUUUCUAUUAGCUAAGGUUGACAAAGUUUAUCACUAGUUGAAUAGUGUUAAGUCUAAGUUUUAUUAUAUAUAUUAAAUAUAAUUGUUUUGCAUUGUUGGUGUUUGGCCUAAGUACUGCUCCUAUAUUCGAUAUUAAAUUACUCUUGUUGUUAUCUACACUAAUGUAUACAACAAAAGUUAAAAAAAAGAUUCAAUUGGAUAACCCUCGAUCAAAAUGUUUCGAACUUAUCUUCUGUAAGUUAAAAGUAGGACAUCCACAAAGUUGUAUAAAUAUAUACCGUCCAAAUGGGAAAGAGAAGCAUGAGAAGAAGAGCCUUCUAGCUUUCUCCAAAAAUAAGCAAAAAGGAAAGAUAUAGCAAAGAUGAGUUGUGUGGACAAGGGGGAGUGGUCAAAAAUACCUGUUUGUACAACACCAUGUGUUCUUGAUAUAGCAAAUUUUGCAGUGACGGAACACAACAAAGAAACUGGAGAAAAAUUGACACUCAAAAGUGUUAUAAAAGGAUGGUUUUUGGAGUUGGGCGAUGUGAAAUUAAAGUUUCGUUUGUACAUUCUAGCAGCAAACGACAAAGGAGUUGUCCUAACCUAUGAAGCAGUUGUGUGCGUCACAGAAAUAGGUGACUUUAAAAGAGUGAAGAAACUCUUAUCUUUCAAUGUCGGUUAUUUGGAUGAGAAGGAUGUAUUUUGGAUUGUAAUUGUUGAUACUAAAGCGUCUUGUGUGCAAGACGUGGCAAAGUUUGCUGUGGCAAAGCAUAAUGAAGACGAACAUGAUAGUCUUGUCUACCUUUCUAUCACUAAAGGUUGGUAUCGAGAACUUGACCCGUAUAAUGCUAUAUUCUUCGAAAUUCAUCUUACGACGAAGGAUUGUUUUGGACGAGUGCGUGAGUUUAAGGCUUUGGUUCUAGAAGACAAACCUCAAAAGGAGAAAAUCCGAACACUCAAAUAUUUCGAAGUUAUAAAGAAAUGUUGAAAACUUGCUAUCUAUAUGUAAGUGAGAGUGGUUAUGUUAUGUGUUAUGUCUAUGUUCUUGACUAUAUAUCCAUAAAUGAAUAGUCAAGUUUAAACUAAAUAAAACGUUUUAAAUUAUAUGUCACUCUUUAUGCCAAAUUUUAUUAAGGAAGUUGUUUAUAUUAUAACCUAUUAGUUAUUGGGAAUUUAUACGAGAUAUAAAUAAAGUCACUUCAUUAAAAUGAAAAUGUAAUAGAUCGAUGGUAAUAAGAAAUGUGUGGGGUGCCAUUUGAUUGCUUUUAGCAUUGUUUACUUAUGUUCUAUGAUCGUAUUGACACAUGAGGUCACUUCCAACUUAUAAUCAACAAAUGCAAAUUGAUUCACAAAUUAAAGGCAUUCAGUUCAAUUGCACCUAGUAAUUAAGUUGUAUAUUUGUUACUGUGUUUCGGUUACAACUACCAUUAUUGUUAUUGUUUCAGCUGAAAAAUUAUCAAUUUGACAUUUUAAUAUUGUCGUUAUUGUAAUCGCUUUGGAAACCUUAUCCUUUGAAUUCCUAAGUCGUAUAAGAAGUUAAGUAGAGGUUGUUGUUGAUGUGUUGUGUUGUUAACGUAGCUUAAUUGAAGGAUUAAAGGCUUGUUUGAAAUUCAACUAAGUGUUUGGGAGCUAGGGUAACCAACUUAGGUGUUAUGAGAACCUUCAAGAGUAUGAUGACCAAUAGUAGUUUAAGUGGCCAAGUAGAAGAGCCCUGGUGUGAAACUCCGAUCUGCAAAACAACAAGAAUGCAGGAAGUAGUGUAGAUAGGACACAAUUUAGCUUAAAACCUUGCAAUUGAUCUUAUCACCUAACUCAAACUCAACCCCUUUUAAACUACCAAGUGAAAAACAUAACGUAAUGGAAGUCAACAUAAACGUCAAGUACAAUAAUUAACAUAACCAAAACUUACGCUUAUUUAGAAUGAUUUUGACCACAUGGUUAUAUUGGUACAAUAUGUAGUUUAUUGAAAAUGGACUUGAAGGAGAUGCUGAUUCUGGCGGUGAAGAAGAUGAACCGGAGGACACUGAUGGUGUGAAAGUGGAACAUCUCUACACAUUUCAGAUUAUCAAGGUUUUGCACUAAUAACCGAUUGAUUUACUAUAGUGAUGAAGCUACCAAGCAAGUGAUUGAUGUUUGAUUCGUGACAAGACUUGUUGCAAUUUAGUUAUCUAUGACAAUACAUUGCAUUUAGUUUCUUUGUAAAAAUAUAUUACCAAUGUUUAGUUUCUAUUUCACUUGUAUUUAUCCCUUUGGGAAAAUUCGAUAGAUUUAGUGUACUUAGUUUUUUUGUAAAUAUGUUAUCUAUGUUAUUUUUAUAUAUGAAAGUUCUUAUUUAUAUGUGUACUAGUUUUGUGUUAAAAUGGAAUCAUUGGAUAACAGGAAAAAAAUCUAAUUGAAUUACAAUUUUUUUUAUAAAAAAAAUUCAUAACAUAUUUGACGGUUAUAAAAUGUCAUAAACAAGUCCAUCCUUGACGGUUUUUCAAUGUCAUAAACAAUCAAUUUCUUGACGGUUAUUAAAUGUCAUGAAUACUUAUACUCUUGACGAUUUUAAGUUGUCAUAAACAUUCACACUCUUGACGGUUUUUACCUGUCAUGAACAUUUGUAUACUUGACAUUUAUAAAACGUCAACGUUCA
rnacentral:lncRNA from 1 species